UGCUCUGUGAUUGUGCACUGCAUUGCUAAUCCAGUUUGAUGGUCGAUUAGGCCUCCAGAGGCCUCCAUGUCCCGGAGCCUGAGUUUUCUUCCAGGGUGGUGGUGGUGGUGGUGAAAGGAGGCUGUAAUUUUAUUUCCGGUUCGGCGAUUCCAAGAUUUGUGGUGCUAGUUGAUGAUAGGGGAGAAUUUUGCCGCAAGAGGUGCUCGGGUGAGCCUUGCGGGCUGUUUGGUUGGUUAGAUGGAUGUGUUUAGUGCUCGGUGAAACAUUUUGUGCGUGUGCUGAGCAUGAUAUAGUAUGGAUGUUGAUCCUUAAUUGUUAGUUUAGUCUAUAGAUUUGAUGACUGUAUUAUGAUGAUGAUGAUGUAUCAAGUGACUGAAUUUGGUCUGGGCUGAGCUGGUAGGAAACCUUAUAAUCCUCCCUAGGGCUUGUUACUCUUGUUAUGUGAAAUAUGUUUCUUGUGAAUUUUGUGAGCUUUCUUUUAUCUGUUUUGCUUUUGUGCUUUAAAUCAUCAAGUUUGUUAGUUCCAGUUGUUACAAAUUAUGGGGUUUUGUUUUUGAUGUGUAUAAAUUAUGGAGUUAGGAAGGAGCUCCUCUCUUGACGAGGGGAUGCGCUUAAAUUUGUGUAUCUUGUGUGUUGAUCCGCAUAUAUUGCAUCAACAUACAACAGCUUGGCGGGCGAGCGACGCAAGUAAAAUGAUGUCAUCCUACGUGGUAGCAGCAGCAUAUUCUAUCCUUGUAGGUUGUGCUGUGCUGUGGUGACGGACGGAAGGGGUGCUGUGCAGUCUAGACUCGACUUUCACGAGCAAAGCAAACAUGUCUCUUUCCUCGGUUUGUAAUUGGUCUUUAUGUGGACUAGUCAACUUUCACAUGUAUCUAUCAUCUGCGUAGCGUGGGGAAAGUCCCAUUCACCAUAAAGCAGCGGUGCAGUUGCAGUGAGCGGCUUUGCUACGCCCGUUGCUGCAGAAGAGACCACGUCGCAAUACCAUCUCUCUCCAUCUUUCUAGUGGGUGUUGACUGGACCUGGGCCUGAGAUAGUUAUUUUUUCUCGAUAAUGAUUGAUUUUGCUGCUUCAAAAUGAAGCAUGAAGAGGAUACAAACAGAAUGAGCACUCGUCUGAAUUUUGCAUUCAUAGGUUACACACAUUCAGUACAAGCACGUUCACAUAAAAACACGUCAAUAAAUAGUAAAUCAUAUCUAAGAUCGAAUCUAUGCGUAGUGAUCAGAUACGAGAUAGCUAACUAGGGCUUUGUUUGGAGCACCUUCGCUUCACAACUUCACUCCCGGAGUUGGUAAAGUUGCAGUUGUAAACUGCCGAGCAGCUAUUUUCUGGCUCCACAGCUCCUGAAAUUUCAUGGAGCUGGUGGAACUCCCAACAGGCCUUAGGUUUGCCGAGUUGCCAGCCGGGCACAUGCACUCCCAGCGAGUCGUUGCUGCCGCUGCUGUCGAUCUGCGGUCUCCUGUUAUGUGGCCGUGGAGGAAGAAGAUGUCAGUUCACUCCGUCUUCAUUACUUUCUUUGUGCAUAACUCAAUACGGAUUCUCAUCCGGAUACAAGGACCGUAUGUACUUCACGUUGACGAAUCAAGUACGUAUUGGCCGGUGAUGCAGACCACCGACUCUACAUGCUACCACGUACAUACGGUCACCAUGAGCCUACCAACGUGUUGGCCCGCGAUUGGCUGAGCAGCCUGUCGCAAACAUACACAUACGUACGCAUGUGUUGACCUGAAUGUGACCGAGGAUGCAAAUAAACGUGACGGCGACGCAUUCAGGCAGGCAUGCCUGGACCUGACAAUCGAACGCAUAAAUAUGGAGUACCAAAGUCUAUCAACAGGUAGUACUAAGGGCGGGCAUCUCCAACGCCGAUCUUUACAUUGGACACCGCAUCCAUCCGUGGACAAAGGACAAGCCAGCCAUCGUACGCUAUUCUCCUAAAAGUCCGUCAGUAAGAUUAAUUUGAAAUGCAAAUCCAUCCGACCACAUAGCGCACACCCGAUCGCACCAGUGCAGGAUAACAUCAGCCCCCGAUCAUAACCCAAAAGGGGUAGGUAUGUAUAGUUUUUACAUCUCUGAUCACAAAACAAUAUCAGUCCGGCAGUCCGUGCAGAAAAUUGGAUUUUCUCCCCUGCCAAACAUGCAAUGCGAGCCUCCAUGCUCAAUCUGCGUAGCCCCCACUGUCUCCUUCUCCGCCGUCUCGGCCACCUCCUUGUCUGCCGCCUUCUUCUUCGGCCCAUUUAGCUCUUCCUUUUGCCGCUCAAUAUCUUGAAACGGACGGCUUGCACGAUCAUCAUUGUGUCGUCAUAUAAAUCCUCCAUCUUCAAGGCCAACAUCUUCGUGUCCUCCGAAGCGGCCGCAAUCUCAACCUUUCUCUCUUCGAGCAUGGCCUUCUUCUCUUCGAAUUUGAGCUUCUUGUCAGCCGCCACCAUCAACAUGUUAAACCUAUCUGCUUUUUUUCCUCCUUGACGUCAGAGCGCUUGACGUAUGCCCCUUCUUCGACAAGAUGUCCUUAAACCUCCCCGCCAUCUUGGCCUUUGCCCCUCUUGAUUCACCCUAUAUUCCUCCCACUUCUUUCCAUGAAACCAUCUUCUAACCUUCUUGGGCGGUUCUUUUGUUGGGUCGGUUGGAUCACCGGUUUCUUCCUUGGUGCCAUCUUGGCAAUGUAUAGAUUUCACUUGGGUUCUUCACUCAACUUCAACGAACAAUGCAUGACGGUGAAGUUUUUCUUCCCCAACUUCAAAAAUACACUACACGCAUGGGAAGGCUACAAAAAAAACAUUGUCAAUAAUGCAUAUCCGGCCAAACAAUCUACAAACAAUGCAUAUCCGGACAAAUGAUCUACAAAACAGUGCAUAUCUGGCCAAAUGAUCUACAGAACAAAGCAUAUCCGGCCAACUGAUCCAUUAAACAAUGCAUACCCAGACAAGUGAUCUACAAAAUAAUGCAUAUUCGGCCAAGUGAUCUACAUGUCCGUCCAAGUGAUCUACAACACAAUGCAUAUCCGGCCAAAUGAUGAACUUACUUGCUUGGUGAUUUGCGCACCACUUGGCAACCGUGCGAUGAGUUGCCUCAAGUGGUCGCAAUAAUUCUAAACGGCCUCUUAGAUGAUGUACCAUUGAUGGUUGAGAGACUUGCACCACGGUUGCGGAUGAGCGCGUCGGGGUAGGGAUGGAAAUGCUUGUAUUCAUGGAACCAAGAGUGAAUGUUGGCCCAAAAUGUUGCACCCUUUUGCUCCGUGCCAUGGAUCAGAUCAAGGCUAGUGGCCAACCAUGCAUCACACAACAAUUCGUCCUCCCGCAUGUUGAAGCUUUCUCCCCUACCCCUCUUUUUGGACCGGCAGCAAAUUCAUCCGGAUCAUUGUCGUCUCUGUCCUCCUCCUGCUCCUACUGUCCGGCGGCCCAUUCCCGUUGCUGUGUGUCCGUGCCAGGCUAGGUGUACGCGCUAGACUGGGUGUAGCCGGUUGCGUGCCCAACCGGGUGUACGUGCCGGACUAGGUGUAGCCCUGCUACGAGCCCGACUGGGUGUACGAACCAGCCUGGGUGGGCUCCGAGUCAUCCACCUGCCCAUCCUCGUAGAAACCUUGUCCUCCGCCUCCGUCGUGGAUGAUGUCAAACAUCCCCUGUCCGCGUGGUCGUACGCCGACUCGAGUGCUUUAGGCAUACCAGUGAACAAUGUGUAGGCACCCAACUGUUCCAUGCCCGGCGUCCGUGCCCAGACUAGCUGCGGGGGCGAACAAUCCGAAAAAGCGGUGGCGCCGCGUUGACGUCCACAAUGAAGGGCACUUGCCCGGCGGCGGAUGUCGGGGACAACCUACCGAGCUGCUUGGAAGCGUAGUGGUACGGAGCCUUGUAAUGCUCCAGCCAUGCCGGUGUCUGCGUGGUCUGCGGCGAGAGCGGGGCCCCGCGGCUCAGGCUCCGCCCUCCACCACGUUCGCCACCUCCACGUCGGCGAUGGCAAAAAAGUGCAGGAAUUGGGUGGAGAGCGGCGGGAUGGAAGAAGAGAGUGGGAGAAUUUACCGCUGAAACAGUGCGGCCAGCUACAAAUCACGUGCUUCGCGUUAGUUUUGGGUAGCCCGGGGAUGUCGGAAUACUACAUGGCGCAUGUCCGAACUUCCUUAAAGCCCCUCUCGUUCGGUUUCGGAUUGCGGAAAAUUGCGGUCCACACCACUCUGCGGAUCGAUGGAGAUCGUCAUUGAAUGUCUUGCAAGGGUCGAACAACUGCUUCCGGACGGAUACAAGCGGUUUGGAGGUCUGUGUUGGGAUGCCUUAAUUGAGCAGUAUAUAAUAUGCCCAUUGACUCCCUGCCCUAAUUGAGUAUGUAUGUACGUGCUGCAUUGACCAUUGAUUUACCUAGCCUAAGUUGCUUGGGAGAAUAUCACACGGAAAGCAACAUUCAAAGAAAACUUCAUGAAAACCAUGUUUGAAAGAUUUAAUAAAUUCUGAAAAAAGGGGAUGUUAAGAGUAUGAUGUUCUAUUGUCGUGUCAAAUUUCAAGUUAAAACACGGGAUGCGAGCUAUGAAAACACAGAUUUAGUAAUGAAUAAUGACAUUAUUGUUUGGCCUAUUCAAUGCUGAUUUUGUUUUUUUCAUAGCUCAUAUCUCGUAACGUGUUUGAACUUUAAAUUUUGCAAGGCAAUAGAACAUCAGUCUAUUAACAUCCCAUAUUUUUUUGUUUUUUCUGAAACUUCAAAACAUUAUUUUUACGUGGUUUUCAUCGGUUUCCACCGAACGUUGAUUUCCAUAUGAUAUUUUGCCAAGUUGAUUCGAGUGCAAACACUACCAGAUACGCUAAAGCUCCGCUAGCUCCCUAAAAAAAUGAGCCACUACCGCUGUUAUUAAAUAAGACUAGUUCAAGAAAGGCCAUCUCAAGUCCUGCACGUCCAUUUCGGGAGCUACGUGCUCUCUCAACUUGAUCUCAAUAAUAAAGAUACAUAACACCCAAACAACCCCCCUCCCCUGCCCCACAUCGCCCCCGCGGGCGACUCGGGUGCCCUAAUCCCGCCACCGACCCCAGCCUCCCUCCCUCUCCCCCUCCCCGCCACCGCCGCCGGCGGGCGCCGCCGGGCAAAGUCCGCGUGGUGCCGGCGGCGGCGUGAUUCAUCUUGCCCACACCUGGAGCGGUGGUCGCGGGGGACCACUUCUUCGGCCUGGCGGCGGAUCUCGGUGGCCUCAGCCCGGCGUCGAGUGGCCGACGCGGCGGAGANNNNNNNNNNNNNNNNNNNNNNNNNNNNNNNNNNNNNNNNNNNNNNNNNNNNNNNNNNNNNNNNNNNNNNNNNNNNNNNNNNNNNNNNNNNNNNNNNNNNNNNNNNNNNNNNNNNNNNNNNNNNNNNNNNNNNNNNNNNNNNNNNNNNNNNNNNNNNNNNNNNNNNNNNNNNNNNNNNNNNNNNNNNNNNNNNNNNNNNNNNNNNNNNNNNNNNNNNNNNNNNNNNNNNNNNNNNNNNNNNNNNNNNNNNNNNNNNNNNNNNNGGCGGAGAUGCGCGCUGGCGGGAGGUGGUGCAGGGCGUCGCGGUGGAGUGCGCAGGCCGGCUGCGGGUUGGUGCUCCUCGCCGCGAGGGAGUUCGUGCCUGGCCAGUUCGAGUGGGCCGAUCCGUGCAGAUCCGAGGAUCUCGGGCCGGAUCUGGUGCGUUUUCGGCGCUGGCCGGCGUCCCUGAGGUGCUCACUGCAGGGAGUGCGGCGGUUGUCUCUGGAUCUUUGCGUGGAGCAUAGCAGGAUGGAGGAUGCAGGUGGUGCACUGGCACUGGCGGUGGCGGCGGUGCGAGCGCAGCCAUGGUGGCGGCGGCGCUGCGAGGCCUUGCCAGGAAGGGUCUUGGCGGGCAGCGGGCGUUCGGUUGCUGCCGUGUGAGGCGUGCGGCGAUGCCUUGGCGGUGUGGGUGUCGGAGGGUGGUCGGAGGUGCGGGUCGGAUCCAUUCUGGUGGUAGUCCCCUGGCGUGGGUGAAGGCCACCGUGGCGGAACUGGCUUUGCACCGCUCGGUGGAUGCUGCUUCUCCUAGUCGAUGUUGAAGGCGAUGGCUUUAGGCGUGUUCCCUCGGCAGUGAGGGGGGCUUCGAUGGCAAGUUGUUGCGGUGACGGUGGUGCGAGGCAUCUGAUCAGGACUGGCCGGGAUCUUGGAGACUUGGAGAUGUGCAGAGCUACGGAUGAAAAUCCUGUUCGGUUGUGGCCGGACCGGCAUUGAUGGCACCUGCGGGUGUCAUUCACCUUCCCGGGGGCUUCGCCGAGUGCAACGCCAUCUUCCUCGCGACCUCGUAUCGGCAGCUGUCUCCGGGGCGAAAGCCUUGAUUCGUAGGAUCGGCAUGAUGGCAACGUCUUUGAGGUUGUUACUCUGUUGGGAGCAUUGUGCUGGGAGACUCGAGGUCCCAUGAUGCGCUCCUCCGGUGUUCACCGCUACCCGGAUCUUUUUCCUUUGGCGCCAUGUACGGUUGUCGCUGGCUACUCCAAGGAAGCUGGAGUUGCUGUUCUUCGGUGUCGGCCGAGACGCGGCAAGGGGCUCGGUGUUGGGUAGGCUUUUUGUGUCGUAGCCGUGUUGUUGUGUUUGGUUAUCCUUGUACGAACGGGGUGUGGAGUUGGUCGCCUUCGUUCUCCGUAGCGAAUGGUAGACGUUGUUGUAUGUCUUAUUUCUCUCCUUCUAUAAAGCUAAGGUACGCAAUUUGCAUACCCUUGAUUUUUUUUUAAUAAAGAUACAUGUCGACGAUCCGAUACCUGAUCUGGAGUAUAUUCAUGUUCCCAUGCGUGCAAGGAAAUUUCAGCUACAUCCGAUUAAAGUAUAUGGAUCGAUCCAUCGAUCAAUGCAUGUCUAUCUUGUGGCCGAUUGGUUCGACCUAUUCAAUUUCAUGGGUGGAAAGAUCUCUGUUUCCACUAAUCAACCUCAGCAGCUUAUUAAUUUCCUUUUUUUUUGCGGGGAAGCAGCUUAUUAAUUUCAUCUUCACUGUCCGUGUAUCGAGUUCAUUUUAAAAAUACGGUCAUUUGCAUUUAUGUCACUAACUCAAACCACCUAAUCAGAUAUACCCCAAAUUCGAAAGCCUGCUCAAAUUUGCCCCUCCACCGUUAGGUGCCCUUACAGAAAUGCCAUUCUGCGCCGUUACUGUUCAGUCAAAGAGCUUUGACCGUCCUACAGAAAAUAGCAAAAAAAAUCUAAAUUUUAUGAGAUCGAAAUUACUCAUGUGCGCAAGGUCCGUGCAAAUUUUCGUGCUAUUUAGACAUUCCAGGAGCUCGUGGCGAGGAAAAACAGUUAAUUUGUACUCAUGUGAACAGUAAAUUUGAAAUAAAAUAGCAAGAAAAUUCAAAAAAAAAAUGAAACUUUUUGGCAUCGAAGAGGCUUGGGUGGACAAGGUGCUUGCAAGUUUUUGUGAUCAAAUAACAUGCGAGGAGCUCUAGCAAAAAAACAAAAUAGUCAUUUUUUUCAAAGUUUUUUCCCGAGCCAAAAUUUGUUUUUUCUCCACGAGCUCCUACAGUGUCCAAACACAACAACAAUUUGCACGCACCUUGCAGAUCCGAGCCUCUUCGAUGCCAAAAUUUUUCAUAUUUUUUUGAAUUUACUGUCCACGAGCAUAUAUAUUUACUGUUUUUUCUUUGCCAUGACCUCCUGGAAUGUCCAAACAGCACGAAAAUUUGCACGCAUCUUGUGAACCUGAGUAUCUUUGAUCCCACCAAAUUUCAGAUUUUUUAGAUUUUUUGCUAUUUUUUUUAGGACGGUAAUGGCGCAGAAGGGCAUUUCUGUAAGGGCACUUAAUGGUGGAGGGGCAUUUUUGAGCAGGCUUUCGAAUUAGGGGCAAAUGUGAAUAAUGGGUUCGAGUUAGGGACACAGAUGUAAAAGACCCUUAAAAAUAUAUAGGAGAGGCCUGCCAUUGGUCGUACAUGAAACUUUAAAAUUAGAGCCUUAAGGGCAUCUUCAAGGCGGACCAGCAAACCUCAACAGUCCGGACCGCGCUGUCCGAACCGCAGAAGUCAUUCAACGCGGUCAGCUACAUCUAAUGCAGGGCGGCCCGGACGCGAUUUCUCCCACAAACCGGAGAAAAANNNNNNNNNNNNNNNNNNNNNNNNNNNNNNNNNNNNNNNNNNNNNNNNNNNNNNNNNNNNNNNNNNNNNNNNNNNNNNNNNNNNNNNNNNNNNNNNNNNNNNNNNNNNNNNNNNNNNNNNNNNNNNNNNNNNNNNNNNNNNNNNNNNNNNNNNNNNNNNUUUCUGACCGUCCUAGCCCACCCAAAACCAUCACCCGCCCCUCAUGCUCUUUCCUUUCGAUGCACACGCCGCUUAUCGCGCCACAUUCAUGCCGGCCCGGAGCAUGCAGCGGCCGACAUUGAUGCCGCAAUGUGACCGAAAGGAGGGAGGGCGACACUGACCGAGGCGACCUCUCGGCAGCCAUCGCUUCAAUGCGGACGCAGGUUCCCGAUGAACCAACUCCGGCAGCUACGCCGCAUUGAAGCGGACCGCCCCUUCGCCUGGGCCUCGCCACAGCUAUUUAGACCGUCCGCCGAAGAUGCACAGAGCCGCACCCCCUCCUGAGCACCGGCCCCCUCCCCUACCCCGUCUCUGUGUCUGAGCCCCUCCCUUCCCCUCUUCGACCCAAGCUCCGGCAAUGCCGAAGUCGUGGUGCUUCGUGCCGGCAGGCGAAGUAGGCGGAAGCUCCUCCUCCGGCCGUUCUUGGCACCGCCGCAUACGCUCUCCGGGCCUGCCAGUGUCUACGGCGGCCGGCUCCUCCGCUAAGGAGGAGAUCGUCAUCUCCUCCGGUGACGAGAAGGACCAGGCGCCGCCGCCGCAGCCACAGGAGCCAUCGCAGCAGCUGCCCCGGCUCCUCAAGGAGGCCGCUCUAAUGGAUGAAGGUUUUGUCCGUCAGAUCGAGAUAAUGACGGAGCGGUCACUCCAUUACAUGGUGUCGUCGCUGCCAUCGCCGGCAAACGUGAAGGAGGAGCCGCCGUCCCCGCCGCGCCACCGCAUCAAGGCCGAGUCGGCGUCCACACUCCUGCUGGUGAAGGAGAAGCCGGCCUCGCCCCGGCACAAGCGCGACAUCCAGAUCGGACGCCCCGUGAAGGAGGAGUCGGUUUCGCCCCCACACCACCGCGAUGUCCAGAUCAGAUGCCGGGUCAAGGAGAAGCCCGCGUCCCUGCCAAGCAGCCGGUACGGUGAUGACCCACAGGUAUAUGGGAUCAAUCAUAGUCCUUUCUAUAAGUAAGAGUGUCGAACCCAACGAGGAGCAGAAGGAAAUGACAAGCGGUUUUCAGCAAGGUAUUCUCUGCAAGCACUGAAAUUGUAAGUAACGAGUAGUUUGAUAGCAAGAUAAUUUGUAACGAACAAGUAAUGGUAACAACAAAUCAUAUGCAGUAAGGUAGCCCAAACCUUUUAUGACAAAGGACAGGCAAAAACGGUCUCUUAUGAUAAGCGUUCUUGAGCGUACACGGGAAUUUCAUCUAGUCACUUUCAUCAUGUUGGUUUGAUUUGUGUUCACUACUUUGAUAAUUUGAUAUGUGGGUGAACCGGUGCUUAGGUGCUGUUCUUACUUGAACAAACCUCCUACUUAUGAUUAACCCCCUCGCAAGCAUCCGCAACUAUGAGAAAAGUAUUAAGAUAAAAUCUAACCAUAGAAUUAUACUUUUGGGUCCAAAUCAGUCCCUUACGAAGUAGCGCAUAAACUAGGGUUUAAGCUUCUGUCACUCUCACAACCCAUCAUCUAAUAGCUACUCCACAAUGCAUUCCCUUAGGCCCUAAUAAGGUGAAGUGCCAUGUAGUCGACGUUCACAUGACACCACUAAGGGAAUCACAACAUACAUACCAUCAAAAUAUCGAACACAUAUCAAGUUCACAUGAUUACUGCAGCAAGAUUUCUCCCGUGACCUCAAGAACAAAAGUAACUACUCACAAAUGAUAAUCAUGCAAAAGAUCAGAGGGGUAUUAAAUAGCAUAAUGGAUCUGAACAUAUAAUCUUCCACCAAAUAAACCAUAUAGUAAUCAACUACGAGAUGUAAUCAACACUACUAGUCACCCACAAGCACCAAUCUAAAGUUCUGGUACAAAGAUUGAACACAAGAGAUGAACUAGGGUUUGAGAGGAGAUGGUGCUGUUGAAGAUGUUGGUGGAGAUUGCCCUCCCCAGGAUGGGAGAGUUGUUGGUGAUGAUGAUGACGAUGAUUUCCCCCUCCGGGAGGGAAGUUCCCCCGGCAGAAUCGCUCUGCCGGAGGGCAAAAGAUCUCCUGCCCAAGUUCCGCCUCGAGAUGGUGGCGCUUCGUCCCGAAAGCCCUCUCCUUAUUUUUUCUAGGUCAAAAUGACUUAUAUACCAGAAGAGGGGCACCGGAGGUGGGCCAAGGAGGGCACAACCCACCAGGGCGCGCCUGGGCUCCCUGGCGCGCACAGGUGGGUUGUGCCCACCUGGUGGGCCCCCUUUGGUAGUUAUUUGCUCCAAUAAUUAUUAAAUAUUCCAUAAAAAUUCUCCGUGAAGUUUUAGCUCAUUUGGAGUUGUGCAGAAUAGGUGGCCUGACGUAGCUUUUUCAGGUCCAGAAUUUCAGCUGCCGGUAUUCUCCUCUUUGUGUGAACCUUGCAUAUUAUGAGAGAAAAGACAUUACAAUUACCCAGAAAGCAUUGUUAUGCAUAAAAACAUUAUAAAUAACAAUAAGUAAUCAUGAUGCAGAAUGGACGUAUCAACUCCCCCAAGCUUAGACCUCGCUUGUCCUCAAGCGAAAAACCGACAUCGAAAAACAUGUCCACAUGCUUAGAGAGAGAGGUGUUGAUAAAAACAACAUACAAACAUAGAAGCAUCAUGUAUGUUAUUAUAACAACAAACUUUAUUAUAGAACUUUUAUCAUAAACUUCUCAUGAACAAGUAACAAUUCAUCACAACAUCGAAGCAUAAAGCAUAAACUCUAUUGAAAAUCAACAAACUAUGUUCUCAGUCAACUUUGCAACUACAAUUCAUCAUCUUUUCAGGAAGGGUCACGUAUCAGAGCCUUUUUGACAAGUCCACAAACUCAACCAUCAUAUAAUCUUCUAUGAUUGCUAACACUCACCGCAUACACAUGAGCAAAAAGUUUCAACCGGACACAUAGAAAGAUAGGGGCCUAUGUUUCGCCUUCCAACGUAUUCACCUCAAGGGUGAUGUCAACAAUAAUUACUCAUGCCCACCCAUAUCUAACUGGGUAUAUGUGCCUAGAUCUUUCCUCACCACAUGGUGCUUGCCAAAAGAGAAAAUAAAAAGGAAUAGAGAGAUACUUUGACUCUUGCAUAAAAGUAAAUACAUAAAAGUAAAAGAUAGGCCCUUCACAGAGGGAAGCAGAGGUUGCCAUGCGCUUUUUGGUUGUAUGCUCAAUCUCUUAGUGCAAAAGAACGUCACGUUAUAUUGCCCCUUAUGAUAGCAACCUUUAUCAUGCAGUAUGUCGCCUUUAUUAUAUUGCCAUCACAAGUUCGUACAACGCUCAAUUUUCUCUUACACUAAAUGAUCUAGCACUUUUAGAAGCAAUUUUUAUUGCCUUAUUGCACCGAUGGCAACUUACUUGAAGGAUCUUACUCAAUCCAUAGGUAGGUAUAGUGGACUCUCAAAACAAGAUUUGGGUUAAAUGUUUUGGAUGCACAAGUAGUAUCUCUCUACUUAGUGCGGAAUUUUUGGCUAGCAAAGAUGGGGGCAAGCACCACAUGUUAAAGGAUCUAUGACAAUAUAACUUCUAUGUGAAUAUGAACAAACAUAAAUCAUUACGUUGUCUUCCUAGUCCAACAUCAACAAUUUUGGCAUAUAAUAUUUUGAUGGGGGCUCACAAUCAUAAAAGAUGUCUAAGAUAGUGUAUUUGCAUGUGAAUCUUCUCUUCCCUUAUUAAUUCUUUCAUGAAUUGCAUCAUUGACCAAUGCUAUGUUUGUAAAUCUCCAAUAAUUUUUUCUACUUACACUACAAAAAAAUACACUUCCGUGAUGAUACGUGUUUGUCACAGUAGGUCGCGUUUUUGUCAUGCAUGUACAUCCAUGACAAAUUUAUGACAGAAUCAAGAUAGUCAUACCUGUGCUGUCGUAGAAGUGUUCCAUGACAUUACCAAAAUUAUCAUCACGGAAGUGUCCACUUCCAUGACGAUAAAUCGCGCGUCAUAGAAGUGCUUUCUUCAAGGGUGACCGACACGUGGCAUCCACUGUAACGGAACGCCGUUAAGCUAUCGGGCCGGGUUUUGGAUCCGAUAACCCGUUAACAGCCCUGACCAAUGGGGAUUUUCCACGUGUAAAAUCAUCAUUGGCUAGAGGAAACACGUGUCGGCUCAUCGUUGGGACAGAUGUCAUCCACUCACUGGACAGAAGGCGCCUAUGAUACGUCGACACGUGGCACGGCCCAACAGUGGCCCAUUCCUGUGAAAAGGCCAGGCCGUUUGACUUGGUCAAAAGCUGGCAGGCCGGCCCAUGGAAAGCCUGUUAACGGCCUGUUCGCAUAUAGCCCAUUUACAGCCCGCUAACCCAAGGCCCGUUACGCCCUAUCCGAAUUAGGCCCAGUAGCGUCAUCUGGGCCAUCCAAUAUGAUUCCAGCCCGUUUUCACUUCUGGCCCAUGUAUAGCCCAUGACGUCUUUCGGCCCAUAUGAGGCCCUUUGUAACUCUUGGCCCAUUAGCGGCCUGUGCUGAAACUGGCCCAUAAUGAAUAGUGUAUUACUUUACACCCAUUAACGGCCCGUGGUGAAACUGGCCCGUAAUGAACAGUGUAUCACUUUAUACCCAUUAACGGCCCGUUAUUCCGUUGGGCCGUUUCCAGCCCAAGUUAACUUUCGGCCUUCUGAGGGCCCAUUUAUUCUUGGGCUCAUUUGCAGCAUUCGGUUACUUACGGCCCGUUACUGUCAUUUUCUGCUUGUGGGCCAAAUUCAGCCCGUCGUUACAGUCGGCCCUUUUGUGGACCGUUAGUCUGUUGGGCCAUUUUCAUAGCAUCACCAAAUACGGCCUAUUAACGAUGGCCCGUUAUGGUCGGCCCAUGAACGGACGAUUCCAACUCUAGCCCAUUUACGGCCAUAAUGCGGUCUAUUUGGCCCAUGUUUGGCCAAUCGAUCAUACGGCCCGUAUAAGGCCCAUUGAUGAUACGGCCCGCAGAAGGCCCAUUGUUUCUACGGCCCGUAGAAGGCCCAUUGUUUCUACGGCCCGUAGAAGGACCACUGUUUCUACGGCCAGUAGGAGGCCCAGUGUCACUACAGUAAAUAUUAGCCCAUGGUUAUUGUGGCCUAGUUUUAAAAAAAUAGGUUAUUGCAGCCACUAGCUAACCGCGGAAAAAGAACUGCAAUGACUACAAGCAAACAAAUAAACAAGACAACAAGGAAAUAAAUAAGCAAGCAACUAACGCUAGGCUAUCAUGGCUAUUACACAUAUUACAUCCACUGGGCAUCAAAGUUCGCCACCAGUGCAAAUAUAGGGAACAAAGCAGCAUAUCAUAUACACUGGUUGUCAAAGUUGGCGACUAGCGCAAAUAAACGCCGCAGCAAAACAAAUCCAGAACUGAAACCACUUCAGAAGAUCUCAAGAAACAAUAUCCUGGGUACCCAUAAUGCUGGCAAGAUGCUUAGCAAGCUUAUUAACUUUCUCUUGUUUGGCGCUUUAAUCCUCCAGCGCUUGCUGUUGCACCAGAAAAUAUGCAUCUGAAUUCUGCAGGGACUUACUCAGUCCUUCAGCUUCCUGUCGCAGCACAUCUGAUCGAUGUCUUUCAACUUGAAGUUGAGACUCAAGAAGACGAACUGAUUCAGGCAGCGAGUUCGAAGAGCUUGUGCCAGGAGUAGUGGCUAGUAACUCGAACACUACAUCAAGACAGGACUUUUGGGUUCCCUCACUGUCGUCAAGAUAGUUUUUAUCAGCUUUCUUGGAGACCAACAGGGAUGUCUCACUAUCUUGAACCUUAUCUGCAUUACUUCCUUUACCAUUGGAUAACGCGGUACUGUUCUCCAAUAUUUUGUCCGCAUUCUAAAAGAGAAACAAGCAGACACAUCACAUGUUUACCAUGUUGUAUAUGAAACUCAUUUUGGUAAAUGAGUUCAGUAGUAAAGUGGACAGGAUAACAGCAUGAAACAAACAUAUAUCUAUGUACCAUGGUCACUUUAUGGUCUAUAUCAUUCUAGUUUUUGUUGCCAAAUCAAGAUAGAGACACAAUUCAAAUAAUAUUUGUUCAAGACAAAGCAGAAUAGACAUAAUAUAAGUGUGGGUAACUAUAGAACAAUAACAACACUUGUAAUGUGCAUGACAUGAGAACAUAAAUGUUUAUUCAAUUCAAACUGAAAUCAACAUAGAGCAGGUUACAACAGCAAACCAGUUAAAGAAACAGGUUUAAAACAUACCUGUUGCGCCAUUGGAGUUUCAAUUCCAUCCUUCAAAUUUGAAAAUAGUUGGUAUGAGUAAAUACAGUAAUGCAAGAGCAAAGGAGUAUGAACCAUAGCUACAGAACCUGACCUGAGAACAAAUCUUCUUCUCCUUUAAGCGUUGAGUUGGGAUUCGGAGUGGUGGUCCUCGUGCUUUGGGCACUGCAGUUCCCUUACUAACUGCUCGUGUUUGGGUGCUCUGUGGUGGAGAUGGUGCUAUGUCAACUGGAACUGGGUUACUAUCUGCCGGGGUUGGGGUUAGAAGGAGUGUAGCUGGUUCUCUGUCCAACUGGGUAGGGGUACAAUCUGCGAGAGUCUGGGUUAUGUGUGGUGGAUCUGGUCCUUGGGCAAGUACAACCGUGGUUCUAUCUGCAUCAACUGGUAGCACUAUCUUUUCUGAAGACCGUGUUGUUACUCCCUUAGAUACUGCCAUCACGCUCUCCAAUUCAAAUGGCUGAUAAACAAGAAAAGUAAUUGAAAGUAUAGACAUUGUAUGAUAGACAGGUGCAAUGGAUAGUGGGGAAUAAAAGAGGGCGUGAAAUAAUUCAUAUUUAUGUUGUCUAACCAAACAUGAUAGCAUGACACAAUUUCACAUAUAUGAUGGCUAACUAAACAGGAUAGCAUGACACAAUUUCACAUUAUGAUGGCUAACUAAAAAAGAUGGAAAGACAUAGUUCAAAAUAUGAGACUAUGUAAACAGGAUGACAUGACAUAACUAUAUAAUGUGUUUAUUAAAUAGGUUGGCAUGCCAUAAUUCACAUACAUUCACGGAUAGAAUGCCAUAAUUCAAAAUAUGAUGACUGUAAACACUAAACAGGAUGAGAUGAUAUAACUAUAUGAUGUCUUUAUUAAAUGGGUUGCCAUGCCAUAAUUCAGAUAGAUGAUGUGUAUGUAUUAUGUAAACAUGAUGGCAUGAUAUAAUUCAAAUAUAUGAUUUAUAUAGUAAGCAAGUAAGCAGAUGGCAAUCCAUAUAUGAUGUAAAAACUAAGCAAUGCAAGACAACAUGCAUGACAUGGGUAAUAUAACCCUGCCAAGUUUGAGCAUAGACCUCAGGGGGGAAAUAGGACUGGUCAUCAGUCUCUGAAUCCUCCUCUGAGGAGCUCUCUGUAACCAGCAAGAUGUCUGCUUCAGCANNNNNNNNNNNNNNNNNNNNNNNNNNNNNNNNNNNNNNNNNNNNNNNNNNNNNNNNNNNNNNNNNNNNNNNNNNNNNNNNNNNNNNNNNNNNNNNNNNNNNNNNNNNNNNNNNNNNNNNNNNNNNNNNNNNNNNNNNNNNNNNNNNNNNNNNNNNNNNNNNNNNNNNNNNNNNNNNNNNNNNNNNNNNNNNNNNNNNNNNNNNNNNNNNNNNNNNNNNNNNNNNNNNNNNNNNNNNNNNNNNNNNNNNNNNNNNNNNNNNNNNNNNNNNNNNNNNNNNNNNNNNNNNNNNNNNNNNNNNNNNNNNNNNNNNNNNNNNNNNNNNNNNNNNNNNNNNNNNNNNNNNNNNNNNNNNNNNNNNNNNNNNNNNNNNNNNNNNNNNNNNNNNNNNNNNNNNNNNNNNNNNNNNNNNNNNNNNNNNNNNNNNNNNNNNNNNNNNNNNNNNNNNNNNNNNNNNNNNNNNNNNNNNNNNNNNNNNNNNNNNNNNNNNNNNNNNNNNNNNNNNNNNNNNNNNNNNNNNNNNNNNNNNNNNNNNNNNNNNNNNNNNNNNNNNNNNNNNNNNNNNNNNNNNNNNNNNNNNNNNNNNNNNNNNNNNNNNNNNNNNNNNNNNNNNNNNNNNNNNNNNNNNNNNNNNNNNNNNNNNNNNNNNNNNNNNNNNNNNNNNNNNNNNNNNNNNNNNNNNNNNNNNNNNNNNNNNNNNNNNNNNNNNNNNNNNNNNNNNNNNNNNNNNNNNNNNNNNNNNNNNNNNNNNNNNNNNNNNNNNNNNNNNNNNNNNNNNNNNNNNNNNNNNNNNNNNNNNNNNNNNNNNNNNNNNNNNNNNNNNNNNNNNNNNNNNNNNNNNNNNNNNNNNNNNNNNNNNNNNNNNNNNNNNNNNNNNNNNNNNNNNNNNNNNNNNNNNNNNNNNNNNNNNNNNNNNNNNNNNNNNNNNNNNNNNNNNNACUGAACAGGUGGCAUUCACACAAAGCAUGUCUAAACUAAUCAAAUGACAUAGCAAUGCGAGACACCAUACGCACGAUAUGAGCAACAUAACCCUGCCAAGUUAGAGCAUACACCUCGGGGGGGGGGGAGGGGGAAUAGGACUGGUCAUCUGUCUCUGAAUCCUCCUCUGAGGAGCUAUCCGUAACCAGCGAGAUAUGCGCUUCGUCAGAUAGCAUAGUCUGCUAUGAAGACCUUGUUUUCACUCCAGAAUUUGCCAUCACCGUGUCAAAUGGUUGAUGCACACGAAGAGCAGUUGAAUGUACUAACAUUGUUGACAAAUGUAAUAUGUAACGAAAAAAGGAUGGCCUGAUAUAAUUUACAUAUAAGAUGACUGGCUAAGCAGGAUGGCAUUGCAAAAUUCACAUAUAUGAUGCCUGGCUAAACAAGAUGGCGUUGCAUAAUUCACAUAAACGAUGAAUAAACUAAACAGAUGGCAUUCGCACAAAGGAUGUCUAAACUAAGCAGAUGACAUAUUUGAUGUAUAAAGUAAGCAAUGCAAGACACCAUAUGCAUGAUAUAACCAACAUCAGCAUGCCAAGUUAGAGCGAAGACCUCAGGGGGUAAAUAGGAGUUGUCUUCUCCUUCUGAAUCCCCCUCAGAACAGAUAUCUUCCUCUCGAUUACAAUCCGAAAUGCGUGGAGGGGGGGCUGCCUUUGCGCCUACCAUGGAGCGACGUCUGCAUGAAAUUUUAUUGCCACGCAAGGCUCGUCUCUUUUGCUCUACAUGUUCAGUUCCAUUGUUUAUAAUAACUGUCAUGCAUAGGAAUAAAACAUAGUGAGAUUAUGUAAGGAGUGCAUGCAGAAAUCCAGAGUGAUGGUAGCAACCUGUGGAUAGACCCAAAACCAAUAAUAGCAGACAGAUAAUGGCUUCAGUUAAAAAAUACAGAUAAUGGCUUCUUUACUGUUUGUUUCCCACCCAACAUGAAACUCAUAGUAGACACCGGAGAUUAACCAGAUAGUAGAUAGAUACUAUUGAUAGCGGCCCCGAUAUGUACCCCACAACCAUUUAAAAACUCAAGUUUGACCAUUAGUUUGGAGCUGACUCAGAGUCUAAUCGGUGAACAGGACGAUAAAGUAGCAUGUAAUAUUAAGCGAUGCAUAACGUAAGCAGACACAAAAGAGUACGACCUCUCUUGCGGACCCGUGUAGUCCUCGAGGUCAUAUGCUCGGUUGAUGAUGGUAAUGCAGUUUGCAUGGCUGCCAGCGGCGGGGAAGAAGAUCUGAGGCAGCGAAAGACAGUCUGGAGGCCGGAUCCCUGCUGUGCUGGACCCUUCUGUCGUUGGAGCAGCUGAGCUGGGGUGGACGACGGCGCAGCAUGAGCGGGACAAACCACACAAGGUUUUCUUUGACAACUAUCUGUAAGAGAAGUAAUUCUGUAAGGGCUCGUUUGAAUUGGAGGAUUCCAACGAUGCAGGGAUAGGAAAUAGACAAGAAUAGGAUAGGAAUGCACGUGCAAAACAGAGAAUUAAAAAACACAGGAUUUCUGCCAAUCUGGGUGUUUGAUUCACAAUAAUUGGAAGAUCACAUGAUGCAAAGAAGCAUGGCGAGAUUAAGUCAAACCACAAGAAAAUGUACGGUUAUAAUGCUAUUAUGCUACUAUCUCUUAGUCUUGUGCUUCAUGAAUAGGAAUUUGAAAAGGAGGACAAGUGAAAAUUAAAAUUCCUACGUUUUUUCUUUCAAGGAGACACUAAAGGAACAAAUCCGUGUGCUCAGUGGACAAUAUAUAUAACAUGUAGAGUAAAAAAGAGAUGCAACAAGUGUACAACCUCUUUGGCGAAGUCAUGUCGAUCUCAGCGUGAUUGGGUUGGCCGGUGAGGAUGCUCUGGCUGACUUUGCUGUCGGAGGAGGGAAGAAGAUCUUAGGCGUCUGGAGAUGGAGCCCGAGGUACUGCUCCGCUGUGAUGGAGGGUUUCGUCAUUGGAGCAGCUCCGGUGAGUUGUACGACGCCGAGGCUGAAGCAGGACAAGAGAGACAACGAACAACGUUAACCUGAGUGGAAUUCUAAUAGCAUCUGCAAUACGUGACAUAAAAAGACAUAACCACAAAGUGCUAGAUGUAAAAUACAUCAGCCGCUCAUCUCUGAACUUAACUGUCGAAACUGAACUUAACUGUCGAAACUGAAUUUUGCCGGCGGUGCGCCUCCCCGCCCGCCCCGAAAACACUCCCCACCGCCGGUCCGCCGCCGCCCCGGCCAUCCCUCUAGGCCCCCCGUGCCGAGCUUUUUCUCCGGCGAUCCCCACGCCACCGCCCCGCCAACGCCCCGCCACCGCCGGCGACCACCGCCCCCAUCCUGAACCCUAAGAUAGAUAGUGGGGUACCUCUCCAGCGAGCCCCCCUCCCCGCUGCGGCUGGUUCUUCCUUCACCCCGGCGAGCCCCCCACCCCCUGAAAAUCGACUGACCCAAAAGUCGAUUCAGUCNNNNNNNNNNNNNNNNNNNNNNNNNNNNNNNNNNNNNNNNNNNNNNNNNNNNNNNNNNNNNNNNNNNNNNNNNNNNNNNNNNNNNNNNNNNNNNNNNNNNNNNNNNNNNNNNNNNNNNNNNNNNNNNNNNNNNNNNNNNNNNNNNNNNNNNNNNNNNNNNNNNNNNNNNNNNNNNNNNNNNNNNNNNNNNNNNNNNNNNNNNNNNNNNNNNNNNNNNNNNNNNNNNNNNNNNNNNNNNNNNNNNNNNNNNNNNNNNNNNNNNNNNNNNNNNNNNNNNNNNNNNNNNNNNNNNNNNNNNNNNNNNNNNNNNNNNNNNNNNNNNNNNNNNNNGAUAGUGGGGUACCUCUCCGGCGAGCCCCCCUCCCCGCUGCGGCUGGUUCUUCCUUCACCCCGGCGAGCCCCCCACCCCCUGAAAAUCGACUGACCCAAAAGUCGAUUCAGUCGACUGAAGUGUAGCUAAAUCGGAGCAGCAUCGCAAGCAAGAGCAAGAGCGAGAGCAGCAGCACGAGCAAGAGCAAUAGCAAGAGCAGACCAGGCAGGGGACCCAGAGCAAGAGCAGAGCAGCAGCGCGAGCGAGAGCUAAAGCAGCAGCAGCUCCUACUGAUGUGGACGUCGCCGCCGAGGGAGCGACGCCGUGGAGGAAGUGGCCCGCGACGCCGCCGUGGAUGGAGCCGCACCGUGUCGGCUCGGGACCGAGCGCCGACAGCACGGUGAGAUCGAAUCAAGAAGAAAAUGCGGCGAUUAGUGUACAACCUCUUUGGUGGCGCCGAUUAGGCCGCGGCUUCAUCCAAGGAAACGGUGAUGAUGAUGCUCUUCCGGUGGUGCUGGUGAAGACGGCGGUGUGGGAAUGGAGGUGGCGCGAAAGACGAGGGGAACGUCGGGGCAGCUCCUUGGAGGUGGAGGACGGGGUGGCUGAAUCGGCGGGACGAUGAGAUCGACGACGGAUCCUCAUCCGGUACGGUGGAUGAGGGACGUCGAGGUGUUGCUGUGGACGACGUCGUCGGGGAAGAGGCUCCGGCUGGGUGGCGGACGAAGCAGGGUGUGGGGUUUCAUCGCGGGUUUUCGCGGCCUCGGUGUACGAAUGGGUGGGCGGAUGGGAUGGCAGUGGGGAACCAUGGCUUAGAGAUGCGCUUGUCCGAAAUGUGGGGUAAGUUACGAAAGUACCCCCACCGAUUUGAGGCGGUUCUUUCGGUUCAGGGGUACCACGGGCAUUUCGCGUGUCGGGAUUUCACAGGAGGUGGGAGUUUUCGCUCGCGUUGUAAUUUCGGAAUAGCAAGGCGCGGGUUGAGAUGGAGGGAAUUGUCGGAGCACAACGAGACAAAGAUAUAUCUUAAAUAUUUCGGGCUAACAAGGCGCGGGCUGAAAUUUCCGGACAAGCCUAACGUGUACUGUACCAAAUCAAUGCGCACUACAAAUGUCAUUCAAAACUUUGAAUUCAUGUUAUGUUCAAUUAAAAUAUUUCGCUACGUGUAUAAUGCAUGCAACCUACUACUCAAAUGAACGUUUUAGUGCAUUCCAAACGUAUAUACUACCGCUUCAAUAUGAACUAAAUUUGAAUUCGUUUCUCUAUUUGAAUAAGAUCCACAGUAAUGAUUGUUGUGAAGUCAAAGCAUUUGAAUUCGUUUCUCUGUUUUAAUAAGAUCUACAAUCAUCAUUAUUGUCAAGUUAAACCAUCGUUACAUAUGAACUAUGUGUACUAUAUGAACUCGAACUAGAUUAUUUGAAUCCACUUUAUUUUGAUUUCAAAUCACAUUACAUUUCUAGCUCUAGCUAGAUCUUCAUAAUCUAAGCCAUGUCUCAUAUGUAUAAUGUGUUUAUCACAUUAUGUAUGGUGCCCCGCCCCCUACGCCUACAAGUAUUUAGAUGUGAGUUGCAAACACCACACAUUACCACAAAUUCAAAUAAAAUGUGAGAAUGUUCGAUAUAUAGUAUUGUUUAGAUUGUUCGAUAUUUAGUUGUAAGCUGCAAACGCCACACAUUAUCACAAAUUCAAAUAAAAUGUGAGAUUGUUUGAUGUAUAGUAUGGUUUAGAUUGUUCGGCAUUUAGUUGUGAGUUGCAAACGCCAUGCAUUAUCACAUUAUGGUAUAACAUGUGCACAGCACGUGUAUCACCGCUAUAUUCAUGCAUGCAAUGUUUAAAACACUAUGAUCUCCUAUUCAAAUAUAUGAAUCCGUUUUCAUAUCAAAUUAUGAUCUUUGUUAGUCUCUUACACCCACACAAUCCUCUAACCUUUGUAGCUACAACUAACUUUCUCUCGUGCAUGCACACGCCCUCCUCGCCCUCCUUGUAACACCCACGAUGCGGCUAUAUCUCCCACGUGUUGAGGCACGACUUAGAGGCAUAACCGCAUUGUAGGUAUUGUUGCAAGAAGGGUCAUCUUCACACAAUCCCAUGUAAUGAACAAGAAUGGGACAAUCGCCACUUCACAACAACAACAACAACAAAGCCUUUAGUCCCAAACAAGUUGGGGUAGGCUAGAGGUGAAACCCAUAAGAUCUCGCAACCAACUCAUGGCUCUGGCACAUGGAUAGCAAGCUUCCACGCACCCCUGUCCAUAGCUAGCUCUUUGUCGAUACUCCAAUCCUUCAGGUCUCUCUUAACGGACUCCUCCCAUGUCAAAAUCGGUCGACCCCGCCCUCUCUUGACAUUCUCCGCACGCUUUAGCCGUCCGCUAUGCACUGGAGCUUCUGGAGGCCUGCGCUGAAUAUGCCCAAACCAUCUCAAACGAUGUUGGACAAACUUCUCCUCAAUUGGUGCUACCCCAACUCUAUCUCGUAUAUCAUCAUUCCGGACUCGAUCCUUCCUCGUGUGGCCACACAUCCAUCUCAACAUACGCAUCUCCGCCACACCUAACUGUUGAACAUGUCGCCUUUUAGUCGGCCAACACUCCGCGCCAUACAACAUUGCGGGUCGAACCGCCGUCCUGUAGAACUUGCCUUUUAGCUUUUGUGGCACUCUCUUGUCACAGAGAAUGCCAGAAGCUUGGCGCCACUUCAUCCAUCCGGCUUUGAUUCGAUGGUUCACAUCUUCAUCAAUACCCCCAUCCUCCUGCAACAUUGACCCCAAAUACCGAAAGGUGUCCUUCCGAGGUACCACCUGGCCAUCAAGGCUAACCUCCUCCUCCUCAUAGCUAGUAGUACUGAAACCACACAUCAUGUACUCGGUUUUAGUUCUACUAAGCCUAAACCCUUUCGAUUCCAAGGUUUGUCUCCAUAACUCUAACUUCCUAUUUACCCCCGUCCGACUAUCGUCAACUAGCACCACAUCAUCCGCAAAGAGCAUACACCAUGGGAUAUCUCCUUGUAUACCCCUUGUGACCUCAUCCAUCACCAAUGCAAAAAGAUAAGGGCUCAAAGCUGACCCCUGAUGCAGUCCUAUCUUAAUCGGGAAGUCAUCGGUGUCGACAUCACUUGUUCGAACACUUGUCACAACAUUAUUGUACAUGUCCUUGAUGAGGGUAAUGUACUUUGCUGGGACUUUGUGUUUCUCCAAGGCCCACCACAUGACAUUCCACGGUAUCUUAUCAUAGGCCUUCUCCAAGUCAAUGAACACCAUAUGCAAGUCCUUCUUAUGCUCCCUAUAUCUCUCCAUAAGUUGUCGUACCAAGAAAAUGGCUUCCAUGGUCGACCUCCCAGGCAUGAAACCAAACUGAUUUUUGGUCACGCUUGUCAUUCUUCUUAAGCGGUGCUCAAUGACUCUCUCCCAUAGCUUCAUUGUAUGGCUCAUCAGCUUAAUUCCACGGUAAUUAGUACAACUCUGAACAUCCCCCUUGUUCUUGAAGAUUGGUACUAAUAUACUCCAUCUCCAUUCUUCUGGCAUCUUGUUUGCCCGAAAAAUGAGGUUGAAAAGCUUGGUUAGCCAUACUAUCGCUAUGUCCCCGAGACCUUUCCACACCUCAAUGGGGAUACAAUCAGGGCCCAUCGCCUUGCCUCCUUUCAUCCUUUUUAAAGCCUCCUUCACCUCAGACUCCUGGAUGCGCCGCACAAAACGCAUGCUGGUCUCAUGAAAGGAGUCAUUCAGUUCAAUGGUAGAACUCUCAUUCUCCCCAUUGAACAGCUUGUCGAAGUACUCCCGCCAUCUAUGCUUAAUCUCUUCGUCCUUCACCAAGAGUUGGCCUGCUCCGUCCUUGAUGCAUUUGACUUGGCCAAUAUCCCUCAUCUUCCUCUCCCGGAUCUUAGCCAUCUUAUAGAUGUCCCUUUCACCUUCCUUCGUGCCUAACCGUUGGUAGAGGUGCUCAUAUGCCCGACCCCUUGCUUCACCAACAGCUCGCUUUGCGGCCUUCUUCGCCAUCUUGUACUUCUCUAUGUUGUCUGCACUCCUAUCCAGGUAUAGGCGUCUGAAGCAAUCUUUCUUCUCUUUAAGCGCCUUCUGGACAUCAUCAUUCCACCACCAGGUAUCCUUAUCUUCGCUUCUCCUUCCCCUGGACACUCCAAACUCCUCCGAGGCCACCUUACGAAUGCAAGUCGCCAUCUUCAUCCACACAUUGUCCGCAUCCCCUCCUUCCUCCCAAGGGCCCUCCUUAAAUAUCCUCUCCUUGAACACCUGAGCUACCUCCCCCUUGAGCUUCCACCACUUCGUUCUAGCGACCUUGGCACGCUUAUCCCGCUGGACACGAAUCCGAAAGCGGAAGUCAGCAACCACCAGCUUAUGCUGGGGUACAACACUCUCCCCAGGUAUCACCUUACAGUCUAGGCACGCACGCCUAUCUUCUCUUCUCGAGAGGAUGAAAUCAAUCUGGCUAGAGUGUUGGCCACUACUAAAAGUCACCAGAUGUGAUUCUCUCUUUCUAAAGAGGGUGUUAGCUACAAUCAUGUUGUAGGCUAGAGCAAAGCUUAAGACAUCUUCUCCUUCUUGAUUCCUGAUGCCAUAGCCAAAGCCCCCAUGCGCCCCUUCAAAACCUAUGUUAGAUGUACCCACGUGGCCAUUGAGGUCUCCUCCUAUGAAGAGCUUCUCACCAAUCGGUACACUCCUAACCAUGUCUUCCAAGCCUUCCCAGAACUCCCUCUUGGUGUUCUCAUUGUGGCCUACUUGCGGGGCAUAUGCGCUGAUAACAUUGAGAACCAAGUCCUCAGCUACCAGCUUGACCAGGAUAAUCCGGUCCCCACGUCUCCUGACGUCUACCACUCCAUACUUGAGGCUCUUGUUGAUCAAGAUGCCUACGCCAUUUCUGUUUGCAGCCGUCCCCGUGUACCACAGCUUGAAGCCGGUAUCCUCCACCUCCUUCGCCUUCUGUCCUCUCCAUUUGGUUUCUUGGACGCAAAGGAUAUCAACACCUCUCCUCACUGCUGCAUCAACUAGCUCCCGAAGCUUUCCUGUCAGAGACCCUACGUUCCAGCUACCUAAGCGAAUCCUCCUAGGCUCGGCUAGCUUCCUUACCCUUCGCACUCGUCGAGUCAAAUGCAAAGACCCUUGCUCAUUUUCCACUACAUCCGGGCGCCGAUGUAGCGCGCCACUAAGGAUGCGACGACCCGAUCCUCGCUCACUUGCCACCGUAUCCGGAUCAAGAUACGGCGCGCCACUUGGGGGGUGACGGCCCGGCCCUUGCCCAUUUUCCACCACACCCGGGUUCCGAUGUGGCGCGUCGCUGAGAGGGUUACGCCCCUCACACAAUACAUAAAUUAAUUCAUACAUCAUCCAAAAUCCACACAUAGACCGACUACGGUCAAAACCAAAUGGAAAGAAGAUAACCCCAAAUGCUAGAUCCCCGAUCGUCCCAACUGGGCUCCACUACUGAUCAUCAGGAAACGAAACAUAGUAACGACCACGUUCCUCGUCGAACUCCCACUUGAGCUCGGUUGCGUCACCAGCACUGGUAUCGUCGGCACCUGCAACUGUUUUGGUAGAAUCUGUGAGUCACGAGGACUCAGCAAUCUCACACCCGCGAGAUCAAGACUAUUUAAGCUUAUAGGAAAGGAUGGGGUAAUGAGGUGGAGCUGCAGCAAGCACUAAGCAUAUGGUGGCUAACAUACGCAAAUGAGAGCGAGAAGAGAAGCAACACAACGGUCGCGAAGCUAGAGGUGAUCAAGAAGUGAUCCUGAAACUGCUUACGUUCAUACAUAACCCAAACCGUGUUCACUUCCCGGACUCCGCCGAAAAGAGACCAUCACGGCUACACACACGGUUGAUGUAUUUUAAUUAAGUCAAGUGUCAAGUUCUCUACAACCGGACAUUAACAAAUUCCCAUCUGCCUCAUAACCGCGGGCACGGCUUUCGAAAGAUAAUACCCUGCAGGGGUGUGCCAACUUAGCCCAUUAUAAGCUCUCACGGUCAACGAAGGAUAUUCCUUCUCCCGGGAAGACCCGAUCAGUCUCGGAAUCCCGGUUUAUAAGACAUUUCGACAAUGGUAAAACAAGACCAGCAAAGCCGCCCGAUGUGCUGACAAAUCCCGAUAGGAGCUGCACAUAUCUCGUUCUCAGGGCACACCGGAUAAGUCAAGCUACGAGUAAAACCAGGCCUCGAGUUUCCCCGAGGUGGCCCCGCAGGCUGCUCGGUUCGGACCAACACUCGAAGGAGCACUGGCCCCGGGGGGGGGGGGGGUUAAAUAAAGAUGACCCUCGGGCUUGCGAAAACCCAAGGGAAAAAGGCUUAGGUGGAAAAUGGUAAAACCAAGGUUGGGCCUUGCUGGAGGAGUUUCAACCAAAGCGAACUGUCAAGGGGGUCCCAUAAAUCACCCAACCGCGUAAGGAACGGAAAAUCAAGGAACAUAACACCGGUAUGACGGAAACUAGGGCUGCAAGAGUGGAACAAAACACCAGACAUAAGGCCGAGCCUUCCACCCUUUACCAAAUAUAUAGAUGCAUUAAUUAAAUAAGAGAUAUUGUGAUAUGCCAAAAAUAUCCAUGUUCCAACAUGGAACCAAUUUCAACUUCACCUGCAACUAGCAACGCUAUAAGAAGGGCUGAGCAAAAGCGGUAACUUAGCCAAACAACGGUUUGCUAGGCAAGGAUGGUUAGAGGCUUGACAUGGCAACAUGGGAGGCAUGAUAUAGCAAGUGGUAGGUAGCGCAAGCAUAGCGAUAGAGCGAACAACUAGCAAAGCAAAGAUAGAAGUGAUUUCGAGGGUAUGGUCAUCUUGCCUGCAAGGUUCUCAGAGUUGUCGAAAGCUUGAUCCUCGUAAGCGUACUCAACAGGUUCCUCGUUCACGUACUCGUCUCCCGGCUCUACCCAAAGCAAGAACACAAGAACGGGACCAACAAUCAAUCACGGGAAAUGCACAAGCAACAUGAUGCAAUACAUGACAUGAUAUGCGAGAUGUGAUAUGCAAUGUAUAUGCGUGCCCCAGAAGGGAAAAGAUGAACAAGGCAUCAACUUGGCAAACCAAGUAUGCCGUUGGAAAUAUGAGAAGAUUUUGGUCGAAAUCGAUAUAAAGAUCACCGGAAACGGAUGCACGGUUUGCAAAUGGCAAGCAAAACAAGAAUGACACAAUUCUGCGAUUAACAGCAUGAUAGCACUUAGAAUACAUCAAGUAACUAUGCUACAGCACCCCAACAUAGCAACAAAGCAUAUGGCAGCGAUCUACAAGAGAUUCUUAACAAAAGAUGAACACUGAGCUACGGCUAGAUCACACAAUAACAGGUUCAAACAAGCAUGGCAAAAGUGCAAAAGAUAUCAGCUUCACAGACUUAGUGAAAAUACUGGACAUGCCAGAAAUAACAUCAGGAAGCCAUGUUUAGAGCAAGCAAGCAGCAUGCUACAGGAACAUAUCAUAGAAAAUCAAGGCAUGGCAUGAAUCUACUAAAUUCAUAGAACAAAAGUCCCUUACUGAUCAUGAGCUAAAAAGGCACAGAAGAUAUGAUGGCACCCAUGUAAACAUAGCAAGUUUCGUUAACAGGUUUCAGACUUGCAGAAAACAGAGCCUGGCAUUAACAGAAUUAUGAAGGCAUCUUUGUGAGCUCGAUUCACUCAUCACAAAGCAAUGCAUGACAAAAAAAGUAUAACAACAGAAAGAAGACAUGUUUAUGAAGCUAUCCAUGGCAAGAGAAAGUUUAUAGCAUGUAUGGAUCAACUACAACAACCUUUGCAAAAUUGAAUAGCAUGCUAACAUUCUGCCAGGAACAUUUUAUAGCAAAAGUAGAGCAAGAUUUAGAUAUGCUAGGGAACUCCAUAAUUGCAAACAGGGGCAUGGAUGGAUAGAGCAAAACUAUAUGUCUAAAACAUCCUUACUGAACAUACUCAAAAGAAGCAUGGAUCUCACUGUAGCCACAUGAACACAUGGCAUCAAAAUAACAGCAGGUAAAGACUUAGCAAAAUUCUAAGUCCCUGAAAACAGUAACAUCACGAACCCUAGUUUACAUGCUUGUGCUAGUCACCACAUAGAUCACAAAAAUACAUGGCAUAUAUCUCUGUAAAGAUGGCAUGGCAUAGAUCAAAACACCUGUAGAGCUCAUGCUCAUAAGAUGCACACAUCAAAUGCGACAAAAAUAACAAAACGUCAAGUUCUGAUAAGUAACAGCAGUAAACAUCAUAUAGCACUCUUGCAACAACGAUUUAGGCAUCAAGAUGAACUUAAACAGACAUGACACAAUGGAACAAAAUGAGGAGCAUAACCUGAUGAACAUUUCGAUAUAUCAUGCGCAUGAAACGGAGCAGUAUGCAAGGAGAUAGGAUGCGAUAAACAGAGCCACAUAAUAUAAGCAAUUCAGGACAGCAGAAAAACGAGGGGGGGGGGGAAGUCAACCUCGUUCCAGAUCUAGGGUUCGGGCGCGCGGGAGGCCAGGCUCUCGCCGGAGAAGGUGCGGCGGUGGCCGGAGAAGGCCGGAGAAGGACGGGGAAGGCGCCGGCGGGACGGGGCCGACCGGACCUCGCCGAAUCCGGCGCCGGCGGAGGAGCGGGACGGCGGAUGGAGGGAGCCUUGGCUCGGGCGGCGCGCGCGGUGGCAGCGGCGCACCGGNNNNNNNNNNNNNNNNNNNNNNNNNNNNNNNNNNNNNNNNNNNNNNNNNNNNNNNNNNNNNNNNNNNNNNNNNNNNNNNNNNNNNNNNNNNNNNNNNNNNNNNNNNNNNNNNNNNNNNNNNNNNNNNNNNNNNNNNNNNNNNNNNNNNNNNNNNNNNNNNNNNNNNNNNNNNNNNNNNNNNNNNNNNNNNNNNNNNNNNNNNNNNNNNNNNNNNNNNNNNNNNNNNNNNNNNNNNNNNNNNNNNNNNNNNNNNNNNNNNNNNNNNNNNNNNNNNNNNNNNNNNNNNNNNNNNNNNNNNNNNNNNNNNNNNNNNNNNNNNNNNNNNNCGGGGGCCGGCGAUGGGCUCGGCGGGCCUCGGCGGCGGUGGGCGGCGAGGAGCCACGUGGCAGCGCGGGAUUGGCUCGGGGCGGCGGCGGCGAUUUGUCCGGCCGGACCGGACGUGUCCGGCGGCGGAGAGGGAGCGGAGCUAGGGUUUCGGGACCCGGAUUUGGAGGAGGGGUGCACAUAUUUAUAGGUAGAGGGAGCUAGGAGACUCCAAAUGAGGUGCGGUUUUCGCCCACAUGAUCGUGAUCCAACGACGGAGAGCAUGGAAGUGACUUAGAUGGGAUAUUGGGCUGUUUUGGAGGGGUGUUGGGCUGCAACACUUAAAAGGCCUUUGCGGUUACCCGGUUAACCGUUGGAGCAUCAAACGACCUCCAAAUGGAACGAAACUUGACAGGUGGCCUACCGGUGAUGUACCAAGGCCACUUGGCAAACCUCGGUCCAUUCCGAAAACGUUUAACACCCGCUCACGAAAAGAGACAAGAGGGGUGCGCCGGUGCAUGUGGGAGUGUCGGAUUGCAAAACGGACAACGGGGAAAAUGCUCGGAUGCAUUUGACGAACACGUAUGCAAAUGAGAUGCACAUGAUGACAUGAUAUGAGAUGCAUGACAUGAACAAAAUGCAAAACGAAAGACAAAACCCGACCACGAAGGGAAUAUCAUAACACAUAGCCGAAAAUGGCAAGAGCUAGAGUUACAAAUAUGGAAAGUCACAUCCGGGGCAUUACACUCCCCCUCCCUCGACAUUCUAUCCACCGGGCACAUUCAUUUUUUUCUUUAGGUCGUUAUCCCAGAGUCUCCACAACUCCUUUCCGACACACACCGAUUGUUGAGGAUAUAGACCUUAGAGUCACCUGCCAGGAGGGGCCGGGUUACUCUAAUGGUCAUUACCAGAAGCCCGGCGCCAAGCUUGAAGACGGUGGGCCAGAGAUGGGCUUAAGACCCGGAUAUGGCUUAAGGCCCGUAGUUACAAUCAUUAUCAUGGUAGAACUUGUAGUGCAAGGCAAGAAUAGCUGAGAGUCCGAGCCGGACACUCUUAUGAGCCGGCCGGGACUCUGAGAGCUGCUGGGCGUCAGCCUCCCUAUAUAAAGGGGCGACCCGGCAGCGGUUUAGGGACAAGAACAAUAUCAUCGAGAACCAGGCAUAGCGGUUUAAGCUCCCUGGUCAUCGAAACCCUAAUCAAUACCACCUCAAACUGGACGUAGGCUUUUACCUUCACCGUAAGGGGCCGAACCAGUAUAAACCCUCGUGUUCCUUGUCCCGCAUUAACCCCUUCAAGCUUCCUAGCUGCGAUGGCUCCACGACUAAGUCCUAGCUCGAGGACAUCUGCCGUGACAAUUCCACGACAGUUGGCGCCCACCGUGGGGCCAGCGCACGGUGGAUUUGAGUUCUUAAAGGGCAGCUUCGAAGGUCUCAAGGGAUACGCUGUGGGCCGGAUGACCAAGAGUCGUCGCGGCAAGCUCUACAUCGACGAUGCAAGCUGGGGCCCCGACGCCGGCUCAACUGAGUACGGGUACCGGGUCCCCUUCGGUGGAAUUCAUGUUUUCAUCGGCAAGAUUGGUGAGCCGGGCCCUGAGCCGGAUCUCUGCGCCGGUCUCAUUGAGACGGCUCAGCGUGCACGACCCGCCCAGGCCCGGCCUGCCUUAAGGCAUGCUUUUGUGGGGUGUAUCCAUGGAGGACUCUCUGAUCGAUCCGGAUCUGGUGAUGAGACGGCCGUCGGCUCUGACGGCGAGUCGGCCACCGAUGAGUCAAACUCGUUGUAUCAACUUCAAGAUGGCAGGCUCAUGGGUUAUUCCGAUGGUGACAAUAUUCCGGACCCGUUUGAGCCGCCAAGUCAGGUUGGGGUCUUUAUGGCCGGUGCACAGCCUGUUUAGAACCCUGCUGCUGGAGCGGGAGACCCGGUGCCCUCGCCGGCUCAGGUACUGAUGGAUCUCACGGACAAGAUGACGGCCUUGUUAACCGCCACGGUUGACCCGGCGGAUCAAGCUCAGCAUGAUGCGGAGGUGGCACAGGUAAAAUUGGAUCUAGUGAAGGCUAAGGAGGAUCUGGCAGCGGAAGGAAUCAGGAUGACUGCGGAGCGGGCGGCUCUCGACGCCCAAACCCAGUUGAUUCAGGCGCAGUCCUUCCGGCUCACGAUGGAUCAAAACGCGGUCAAUGAGGUCCUGAGAAGGAGGCAUCAAAAGGCCCAAUCUCGACUCCCUCCGGUUUACGAUCCACGCAACCUCUUCAACACGCCAGGUGCAGGGUCUAGUAACCCGCCAGGGGUCUUAGUGCCCGGGUCGGGGACCCCUAUUCAGCCACAAGUAAUGGGGCCUCCCCAGAUGCCCCCUGCCCCGCCUCAGUACGUGCCAACACCACCGGGUCAUUAUAAUAACCCGCUGGAGAACAUGGUCGCUGCGGCAGCACGGCUGGCGGCUCUCCCGGUUGACGGCGACUCUCCGACGGCUAUUGAAACCCGCCGGGUCAGGGAACUCCUUCAGACAGCACUGGCGCAGCAAGAGGCGUACUCCUACAGCCGGGACAGGAUCCACUCGACCCCUCGUCCAGGCCGGAGCCCGAGUUACAGCAGACACAUGGUCUCAGCGACCGGCUCAAGUAACGUCCGACGCCAUGACCCGCCCCCUGGCCAUGGCCCGGCUUAUAAUGGAGCCUUUCACGCAGCAGACCAAGACAGAGCGCGGCAAGAGGCCGAGCAGGUGCCUCAGUUGACGGCUUACCAGACUCCCCCGGCUUAUCCGACGACGUCCGUCGAUGUGGGUAUCCCUACCAGGACUGGGGGUGUCCCUUGCUUAGUGCCAGCUAUCCGCAAUGAACGUCUACCCAAGGACUUCAAAGGCCCUAGGAAGGUGCCCAACUACACGACUGACUUACAACCCGCAGCCUGGAUCGAGAGUUAUGAGAUGGCCAUGGAACUACUGGAGGUCAGUGAGGCGGCAAUGGCCAAGUACUUCACUAUGAUGUUGGAUGGGACUGCCCGCACUUGGUUAAAGGGGCUACCACCGAAUUCCAUUGGGUCUUGGGCUGAGCUGAAAGCCCGGUUCAUCCAAAACUUCAAAGAUACCUGUAGGCAGUCUAUGUCAAUUGUGGAUUUGACUAACUGUAAGCAGCAAGAGGGUGAGUCUACGACACAUUGGGUUCGCCGGGUUAAAGAGAUCAUACACUCGUCAGACAAGAUGGAUGUCGGCUCAGCAGUUUUAAUGCUGGAGCAGAAUUGUCGUUUUGUGCCCCUAAAGAUGAAACUCGGGCGGCUUAAGCGCGACUGCAGUGAUAUGGGUACACUAAUGGCGGCUCUUGUCAAGUACGCUGAUUCUGAUGGUACCAAGGAUCCCCCUUCAGAUGAUGAAAGGACAGGGAAGGGAAAGAAGAAUGGCAAUGGCAAGGGUCCUCAGCAUAACCCGGGGAACCAAGGAGGAGGCAAGCGCAAGGCCGACGGCAGCCUAGAGUUUGUGGCCAAUGCCAGCUCACAAGGGAAUAACCAGCGACGUAAGGGGAUGCCCCCUCCCCGAGGCGGUGGGUCAGGCCCGACGCUGGAGCAACUGUUGAAUGAGCCUUGUCCAAGGCACGGUUCUAGAGAGAAGCCAGCGACUCAUUUAUGGAAGGAUUGUGCAAUCAUGAAGGCCUUUAAGAAUUACAAUGGCCCGGGCGGCGGUUCAGGCGCCGGCGGCUUUCAUGGCCCGGGCGGCGGCUCAAAUUCUGGUCCUCAGAACGGUCAAGGGGGCUUUAAUCAACAAUCUGGCCAGGGUCAUCAACAGCAGCAGGGGGGUUAUCAGACCAAUCCAAAGCAGCUUAGCGGUGGACAGUAUCAUGUGUUUACCACUAGUUUGUGCAAGCGAGAUCAGAAGCUUCACAAGAGGGCUGUGAAUGCUGUAGAGCCGGCAGUUCCACGCUACUUGCGGUGGUCUGAACAGCCUAUAGUGUGGAGCAGGGAGGAUCACCCUCCACGGGUGGAUAAUCUGGGUCACUUGGCCCUGGUGGUGGCUCCUCAGGUGGGAGGAUAUAAGUUCACUAAGGUGCUCAUGGAUGGAGGCAGCAGCAUCAACAUCCUCUAUUAUGAGACUUUCCGUCGUAUGGGGUUGAUUGAUAAAAACCUCAGCCAGUCCAACACUAUCUUCCACGGUGUGGUACCUGGUAAGUUGGCUUAUCCAGUCGGCAAGAUUGAGUUGGAAGUGGCCUUUGGAGAUGAGAACAACUACAGGGUGGAGAAAUUGACCUUUGAGGUGGUCAAGAUAAGAAGUCCGUACCAUGCUAUAUUUGGACGGCCGGCUUACGCCAAGUUCAUGGCACGGCCGUGUUAUGUGUACUUACAGCUCAAGAUGCCGGGUCACAAUGGGACCAUUACGGUUCACGGCAGCCGGAAAGUGGCUCUGGAGUGUGAGGAAGGUGACGCGGCUUAUGCAGAAUCUGUUUGUGCAACAGAGGAGUUGAAGUUUUACAAAGACAAUGUUGACCCAACAGAUAUGACUUCUCUGAAAAAGCCAACUACAGAGCAAGAGCCGGCAAUGAAAUUUAAGUCGGCUGAUGAGACUAAACUUGUUGAUUUUGUUCCAGGUGAAUCAUCUCAGCAGUUUAGCAUCAGUGCCAAUCUGGAUCCAAAAUAGGAAAGCGUGCUCAUCGAGUUCAUCCGUGAGAAUAGGGACAUCUUCGCAUGGAAACCUUCUGACAUGCCAGGUGUACCUAGGGAACUCGCUGAGAACACUCUCAAUGUUGAUCCGAAAUUUAAGCCGGUCAGGCAGUUCCUUCGACGGUUUAAUGAAGAGAGGCGGAAGGCCAUUGGUGAAGAGGUGGCCCGGCUCUUGGCGGCCAGGUUUAUUGUUGAAGUCUUUCACCCAGAAUGGUUAGCUAACCCGGUGCUCGUACUCAAGAAGAACGGCACUUGGCGGAUGUGUGUGGACUACACGGACUUAAACAAGGCGUGUCCGGCUGAUCUUUUUGCCCUUCCCCGUAUUGAUCAAAUUAUUGAUGCUACGGCAGGUUGUGCGCGCUUAAGUUUCUUGGAUGCUUAUUCCGGAUAUCAUCAGAUUAAAAUGGCAGUUAAGGACCAGGAGAAGACGGCAUUCAUCACUCCCUUUGGAGCCUUUUGCUAUGUGUCUAUGCCCUUUGGACUCAAGUGUGCACAGGCGACUUACCAGCGUUGUGUGCAGAACUGUCUUCAUAACCAGAUUGGGCGCAAUGUUCAUGCUUAUGUGGACGAUAUUGUGGUUAAGUCCAUAAAGGAGGAAACCCUGGUAGACGAUUUGAGAGAAACCUUUGAUAAUCUCCGGGUUUACAAGAUGAUGCUUAACCCGGCCAAGUGUGUUUCUGGUGUUCCUGCAGGCAAACUCUUGGGUUUCUUGGUUUCUGACAGAGACAUUGAAGCUAACCCAGAGAAGAUCAAGGCCAUCACCUCCCUGGCUAAGCCGGCGUGUAUAAAUGACGUUCAGCGCUUGGCGGGUCGCAUUGCUACUUUAAGCCGAUCUAUAAGCCGGCUGGGUGAGAAAGCCAUGCCAUUAUAUCAAUUGAUGAAGAAAACUGAUAACUUUGUCUGGAAUGAUGCAGCUAAUACUGCUUUUGAGGAUUUGAAGAAGCAGUUGGCAGAGCCCCCAGUCCUUGCUGCUCCGGUUGAUAAGGAGCCCUUAUUAUUAUAUGUGGCGGCGAACACACGAGUCGUCAGUGUGGCUAUGGUGGUGGAGCGCAAGGAGGAGGAUAAGGAGCAUCCGGUUCAGCGGCUGGUUUAUUAUGUCAGCGAAGUGCUCAUUGAGUCCAAGCAGCGGUAUCCGCAUUGGCAGAAGCUUGUUUAUGGUGUGUUCAUGGCGAGCCGGAAACUUAAGCAUUAUUUUCAGGGUCAUCCCAUCACUGUGGUCAGUUCUGCCCCUCUUGGUGAUAUCAUUCAAAACAGAGAGGCCACAGGGAGAGUAGCUAAGUGGGCCAUAGAGCUUGGACCUCAUGGUCUCAAGUACGUGCCACGCACUGCUGUUAAAUCUCAGGCCUUGGUGGAUUUCAUCAAUGACUGGACAGAGUCACAAGUGGCCGAGCAGAAGCCGGAUAACACAUAUUGGACUAUUCACUUUGAUGGGUCCAGGCAGUUGGAGGGCUCGGGGACUGGAGUUGUAUUGGCUUCCCCUAAAGGUGACAAGUUCCAUUAUGUGCUACAGUUGCUGUUUCCUUUCACUAACAACGCGGCUGAGUACGAGGCCUUGCUCCAUGGCCUUCGGAUGGCUAAGGAGAUGAGCUUGAGCCGGGUAAGGUGCUUCGGGGACUCAGACUUGGUGGCUCAACAAGUAUCAGGCAAGUGGGACUGUAAGGACCCUCUCAUGGCGGCUUAUCGCCGCGAAGUUGAUGCCAUUGCAGGGCACUUCCAGGGCUACCAGGUAGAGCACAUUGAUCGCAGGAAGAACGAGGCGGCGAAUGCUUUAAGCCGGCUGGGCUCUCAGCGAAAACCGGUGCCGCCCAACACUUUCUUGGACGUCCUGUAUAGCCCUUCUGUUAAGUUGCCUACAGAGGAAGACUUGGCUGUCCCUGACCCGGAGGCACGACUGGUGGCGGCUCUUCAUAUCAUACCAGACUGGACAAUGCCAUAUCUGGCUUACAUGACCCGGGGCGAGUUGCCUGAGGAUGAAACUUUGGCCAGGCAAAUAACCCGGCGGGCUAAGUCAAUGAUUGUUAUCAAUGGAGAGUUGCAUCACCGCAGUGUUACGGGAGCGUUUCAGCGUUGUGUUUCCCCCGAGGAAGGUCAAGAAAUCUUGCGUGAGAUCCAUGAAGGGGAUUGUGGCCAUCACGCCGGCUCAAAGUCUCUUGUGGCCAAGGCUUUUCGCCAUGGUUUUUAUUGGCUGACGGCUCAUGCUGAUGCGGAGGACUUGGUCAGUAAAUGUGAUGGUUGCCAGAGGUUCUCACGAUGGGCUCAUGUGCCAGCUCAGGAGCUGAGGAUGAUCCCAAUCACUUGGCCCUUUGCGGUCUGGGGGCUUGAUAUGGUUGGGCCUUUUAAAAGGUCCAAGGAUAAGAAGACCCACCUCUUGGUGGCAGUUGACAAAUUCACAAAGUGGGUGGAAGCUGAGCCAGUUAGCAAGUGCGAUGCAGCCACGACGGUUCAAUUUAUGAAAAAGGUGAUUUUCCGUUUUGGCUUUCCGCACAACAUUAUAACUGACAAUGGCACCAAUCUCUCCAAAGGCGCCAUGGAAGAGUUUUGUCAACGAGAGCAUAUCCGACUUGAUGUUUCCUCGGUGGCUCAUCCUCAAUCCAAUGGUCAAGCUGAGAGAGCUAAUCAGGAGAUUCUGAAGGGCAUCAAGCCCCGACUUUUGGUCCCUUUGCAACGGACGCCGGGUUGUUGGGUGGAGGAGUUGCCCUCCGUGUUAUGGAGCAUCAACACUACUCCUAAUAGGUCUACAGGCUUCACGCCUUUCUUCAUGGUUUACGGGGCGGAAGCAGUCCUCCCCAGUGACAUCCGUCAUGACUCACCUCGAGUGGCGGCUUAUGUUGAGGCGGAUAAUGAACAGGCGCGCCAAGAUGCUCUUGACUUGUUGGACGAACAGCGUGAUGUGGCAGCAGCCCGUUCAGCGAUUUAUCAACAAGACCUGCGCCAUUAUCAUAGCCGCCGGGUUAAAUCCCGGGUCUUCCAGGAAGGCGAUCUCGUGCUCCGGCUUAUCCAGGAUCAAACAGAUGCACACAAGUUAUCCCCGCCUUGGGAAGGGCCCUUUGUGGUCAGCAAGAACUUGCACAAUGGGUCAUAUUACCUCAUUGACAUUCGGGAGCAUAAAGGUUCACGUAAGUCGGAGGAAGAGACCCGUCGGCCGUGGAACAUAGCUCAGCUUCGGCCUUACUACACUUGAGUCACCAGCUCUCGUGAUGUACAUAUUUCUCUCAGCCAUGUAUAUAUUAUGAUAAGCAAUAAAGCAGGACCUCUGUCCUUUUUUCUCCUCCAAAUAUGCACGUGUUGUUUUCAUUACAAGAUUACAUGAUGACUUGAAGGAGGAUCCGGCUUAUGAUCGUAUUCGAAUCUAGCCAUAAGCAACAAGGUCACUUGGGGGCUUCUUGUUCAAACAUGGGUCGUAUUCGAACCAAAGAGAACAUAGCUGUCGAUACCCAUUUGAUUGGCAAAGUGCCGAGCUCAUUGGGGAGUUUUCUUUGAUCGUAUUUGAAUCUUAGUUUAACCCCUUUGAGAACCGACGUGGAUCGUAUUCGAAUCAGCAUCGUUAAACAAUUCUUAAAAUCACUUGGGGGCUUCCUGUUCAAACAUGGGUCGUAUUCGAACCAAAGAGAACAUAGCUGUCGGUACCCUCUUGAUUGGCAUCGCCACACCCACUGGGGGCUAUAUGAUCGUAUCCGAAUCUUAGCUUAACCCCUUUGGGCCGGGUCUCUGGUCGUAUUUGAACCGGAAGCCCCUAAGUUCUUCCGCUUUAUCACAAGUUUUCUCUGAUUAUGUCAAGGUGUGUACAGCCGGGUCUCACUUUGCCGGCUUAACUUUGUUUUACAGUAUUGUUGAACGCAAUGGGUGUUAUAAGACAGAUAAACCGGAGUUGCGGUACCAACCUUCUUAUCCGGGUUAUCUAAACCGGAAGUAUGUUUGCAGGCCGUUAAAUAUGUUCUUACGGCUGUAUUCAGGAUAUCAUUGAAGACAAGUCCUUUUUGAUUCAUAUUCCGGGUUAUCCAAAGCUUAUGUUUCUUAGGGAGGUAAGCCGCCUCGAGACUUGUGAUUUUCCCUUCUAUGCAGGAUAAUUAAAGGCACCUCUUUUGAGGUUAAGAAAAAGAAAGGAUUGAUUAUGACCCGGAGAAACAUCAAAGAGAACUUCAAAAGACUUCAGCAUUCAAGGUGUGCACGGUGACACGGCAAAAAUAAAGUGUUGGUCCUACUCUAUUACAAGACUCGUUGAGUCUGCAAGGGUGAGGCAUUGUUUGGUAAACCGCCAGCCGAGUUACGAUGCUUGCUGAGUUGAAGUCUCCGGCUCAUUCCUGUCUUCUCCUCCGGCUGAUCCCAAGACCUGGAAAGUUGAUGACUUCCAGUCGAUGCCGCUGAGAGCUUCGAAUUGGGCUUCCUCGUCAAUUAACCCGGCCGGGUCAAUCUCUGGGGCGAAAGUGUGCUGACGAGCCGGCGGGAUUAAGUUGAGGGCUUCAUAGCGAGGGGUUGGAAUCCUCUGAUUUUCCGCAUUGUAACCCGGCUGGUACUUGGUCAGAUCUGUGUCGUUCCCGAUAAGGGUGGCCAUCGGGUGUACGGCCUUCACGCAAGCUGCAAAGUCCUUCUGAUCGAAAGCUGAGCCGUCUUCCUUCAGGCUUGGAUAGCCAAGGGCGAUGUCCGCCGGGUCUAACUCCGGCAGGAAUGCCUUGGCCCGGCUCAGCGCGGCGAUCGCUCCGGCUCUUGCAGAGGCCCGUCGCAGCUCUUGGAUCCGUUGAGGCAGUACAGCGAGCCGGCGAAGGACUUCUGCCAGGUGAGUCGGCACCUCGUUGGAUAGGGCCACCACGGCUAAGGCACGCUGUGACCCGGUGUAGAGCUGCUCCACCAGGGUAUACACGGCCUUCAGCUUGGUUACCACGCUCUGGUUGAGGUUGGCACUUCUGGGACCUGUUUAACAAAGUCAGAUAAGCCGCCGACAAGGAUGAAAUUAUGAGAUAUAUACAUUCUAUGCUUGAUAAAAGCCGGCGAGACGACUUACCGAAGACUGCGGCCACCAUCUGGGACACUUGGCGCUUUAGGCCGGAGAGCUCGGCGGUCUUCUCGGAGAGAGCCUUCUCCGCCUGUUCAGCCCGGUUUACCAAGGCGGCCUUUUCUUCGGCCCACGCCUUCCGCUCAGCGUCGAACUCCGUCUUCAGCUUCUCUUGCGCGGCGAUGCUGGACACGAACUUGGCGUUUGCCUUCCGGGUCUCCAUCUCUUGCAUCUUUAGCCGGUUCUUGAGAUCAGCAAGGUCAGCCUCAAGCUUCUUGCCAACAGCCUGUAUAAACUUCCGGGUUAUGGCAUGAACAAUUACUCUACAAAUUUAAAGUCCCAAGCGUUUUCCAAGCAAAGACACUUGGCACUUGGGGGCUAAUGCAUAUCAAACGUUUUUUAUCUACACAUUGCCGGUUCAAAUGGAGUAAGCCGGAACCUAAGUCUACAACAUAUUUAAUCAUAAGUCGUCGACUUGGGGGCUAGCAUGGCAAAGGUAAAUAUGCAGUAAGUAAGAGGACAGCAGAAUGAUACCUCAGAUUUCUGCUGGAUCUGGUUCACCAUGGCAACCUCUGCGUCCCGGCUCUUGUGCACUUGGCUGAUGUAGCCAGAGACGAGCUCUCCAAUGCUCAGGUUGGUGUAGUCGGAGAGGUCCAGGUUCACCCGGUGGGGCUGCAGCAACUCCCCCUUAGUGGAGCACUUGGCCAGCACGGUAGGUCUCCCCGGCUCAACGAACUCCGUCCGGGUGAUUACCACGCCCGGGUCGUCUGCUGGUGGAGCCGAGCUGGAGGCCUCCGGGUUAACAGAAGCUUCUGUAGUUGCCUUGGUAGUUGGGGCAGCGGCUUCAGGUGCCUUGUCGGUUGGAAUGGUGGCCUCGGGGGCGGAGGCAGCUGGCGGUUCUUGAGCCGUCACCUCCGGUUCAGGUAAAUCCGGCACUCCGGCUGACUUGGUCUUCUUCGCUCUCUUGGUGAGCUUUGCCUGGGCACUGAAAGGACAGAAACGUUAAGCACAAAAAGGGUAAGUACAUACAAGUAUAAUAUGAGAUGGUUGUCAUUACCAGGGCGCGGUCUUGAAAGUCGGAAGACUCGACUGCAUAGAGUCGCCCGAAGAGGGGGAGGUCUCCUGAUAAUUUGAGUCAGAAGAAUUGAGUGGCUGACGUAUAACACCCGCCAACGGAUGAAAAGGGUACAAGUGGGAAAUAACCUCAGUUCGGCGCUUCCUUGAUGCGUCAGGUAGCCCGGAGGAGAGAUCGGUGUCCUUACUGGUCCGGGUGUGACCCCGGCUCUCAUGAACCUGUCGCUUCAAAAUAAAUUGAGGAUCUUGAUAAGCUAAAGGAUGUGAAAAGCUUACUUUCCGGGUUACCCAUCGGACUUUCAGCUUUUGCAAGGGCUCCGAGUCGGAGGAAAGUGACAUUACCUCUUCAACCACCGGGUUACUUGCGCCGGUGUCAUCCUGUCAAUGAGCAAGUAUUGAUAAGGCGGACAGCAACAAACAGUGAAUACAACAAGGACUUAAAGGCUCAGGGGUUACCUCUGACUCGGAGCUGUCGCUUAACUGCAUCAGCUCUGAAGCAGUAGGCCUGCUUCCUUUCUUGCGAGGGGCGGCUUUCUUGGCGGCUUUCUUCACCUUUCUGGCCCUCUUGGCCGCCUCAUGAUCAUACUUGACCCGCCAGAACUUGUCGUCAGCCUGAAAAAUACAAUGAUGAUUUCUUCAAACAAUUCAGAUGAAAGUUAUAUAUAGAAGAAGAUAGGAUGAUCAGAUUGGCGGCUUACCGCUGGGGCUGGGUUGGUCUUGCAGAAGGGGGCUAACCCGGUCCUUCCGCAGUCUGCCAGGCUCUCGUUUAAAAGAGCCUUGGUCAUCUCCUCUGCAACGUCUUCAGGAAGAUCAUUGAGGCUGUGUCUCUGAGGGUCGUCCUUUCGGCCCGUGUACUCACACAUUAAGCCGGGGCGGCGGCUCAAUGGGAUCACCCGCCACGAGAUCCAGACCCGGACCAGAUCAAUUCCAUUCAGACCAUUGCCCAGGAGAGCCUUGAUCUUGUUGAUAGUGGGGAGCAGAGGCUGGCGCUCCGCCGGAGUCAGUUUGUCUGACAGUGGGUGUGUUGACUCCAGACGCGAUGGGCGAAAGCCGGGCAGCGGACUUUCAUCAGCCGGUGACGUGUCUUGGCAAUAGAACCAAGUCAUGUUCCAGUCCUUUGGAUGGCUCGGUGGCUCGGCAUAAGGGAAAAGACAGUCUCUUCGCCGCUGAAUGGAGAUGCCGCCUAGUUCUAGACUUGGCCCAUUGGCGCACUCGUUCUGACGGUUCAAGUAAAAAAGCUCUCUGAAGAGCAGCAGACUAGGUUCUUCUCCAAGGUAAACCUCACAGAAGACUUGGAAGUUGCAGAUGUUGGACACUGAGUUGGGCCCUAUGUCUUGAGGCCGCAAGUCGAAGAAGUUUAGAACGUCUCUAAAAAACUUUGAGCCGGGCGGUGCGAAGCCCCGGCUCAUGUGAUCCGCAAAUAUCACUACCUCCCCGUCCUUUGGCUGUGGUCUCUCUUCUGACGGGUCGGGGGCACGGUAGGACAUGACGUCCUUCUUGGGCAGGUAUCCGGACUUAACAAAAUCUGCUAGUGUCUCAUUGGUGACGUUGGACCUCAUCCAGUUGCAAGUAAUGGAGGUUUUGGGAGGCAUGGUGAAAGUCGGCAGUCUAUGACACAAAGGAAAAACGUCCGGAUUAAUUAUAAGCCGGAGGAAAUCUACAACUCAAAGCUAAGGUGGCGGCUUAUGAAGGGGACUAAUGGUAUAUACCUAAGUACAGUGGGUUAUUUAAGCCGCAGGGGCAUUCAGAACAAAUUGAUUAUCUACGGUCUUAUCACAACUAAGCCGGAGGAUUCUACGAAGCAUGAUUUUCUUUAACCCGGAAGGUUCUACGGCGCGUGGUUUCUUUAAACCGGAACCGUAAACCGCUGAGAUUCAAUGAUUGCAGUUUUUUACUAAGUGUGGUAAACAGGUUUCACACAUCGCAGUAAAAAUUUUGGAUCAAAAUGGUCGGUCCAAAGGAAAUUUUCUAGACCUAAAAUACAUACGCAGGGGAGUUCUUGAGCUCGAAUGAGGUCUCUAUGCAGUGAAAAGAAGUCUCCUUGUGUUUGAAACGGGUGCUAAAACAUCUACCGCAAUGGUUCCAUAUGGGCUAAGAUCAAAAAGGAGCAGUAAAAAAGAAGACUACCGGAGCUUGUGGGCGACGGCGACGAACACGAAGAACGCGGACGAACCCUACGGUAGAUCUAUUCUACAGGACAAGCAGGACUUACAAGAGCUGGAGAGUCGCGGAGGUCGUCGCGUUUUUCUGGUCAGAUCAGGGUGAUGUAGCGACCUGAGCUGGUGACGAUGAGAAGACCCGCGGCGGCGGCAGUAGCAGAGCUCGGGCAGGGGAGCAGUGGCACGAGGAAGAAGAUGGAGAGAUAAGUGGCUGAGAGCCCGUCAGGCCGGCCUAUUUAUAAGGCAAGUUCAUAAGUGGGCGCGAGAAUCAAGGAGACCACGGCGUGGUUAUCUCCCCACAGAACGCCUCGAUUUUCGGGAUGACAGUAAAGAAAAAUAUCCGUUGCGGAUCUGGCGGAGUAAAAAACGGGCUUAAUGGAAGAUGACGUCACGGCAGAUUAUCCGGAGUCCAGAGGAUGACGUCACGCCGGGUUAUGGCCUUCACACAAUUGUAAGCCGGAGGUUUUUCUGUCGAAGGAAUGGAAGAUUGACAUGAGCCGGCUCAAAUCAAUCUGGGGCCUAAUGUUGAGGAUAUAGACCUUAGAGUCACCUGCCAGGAGGGGCCGGGUUACUCUAAUGGUCAUUACCAGAAGCCCGGCGCCAAGCUUGAAGACGGUGGGCCAGAGAUGGGCUUAAGACCCGGAUAUGGCUUAAGGCCCGUAGUUACAAUCAUUAUCAUGGUAGAACUUGUAGUGCAAGGCAAGAAUAGCUGAGAGUCCGAGCCGGACACUCUUAUGAGCCGGCCGGGACUCUGAGAGCUGCUGGGCGUCAGCCUCCCUAUAUAAAGGGGCGACCCGGCAGCGGUUUAGGGACAAGAACAAUAUCAUCGAGAACCAGGCAUAGCGGUUUAAGCUCCCUGGUCAUCGAAACCCUAAUCAAUACCACCUCAAACUGGACGUAGGCUUUUACCUUCACCGUAAGGGGCCGAACCAGUAUAAACCCUCGUGUUCCUUGUCCCGCAUUAACCCCUUCAAGCUUCCUAGCUGCGAUGGCUCCACGACUAAGUCCUAGCUCGAGGACAUCUGCCGUGACAAUUCCACGACACCGAUCGAUAAACCUCUCCAGCGAUGCCUGCCUACAACAUACACACACACCUUCAACCUCCUCCUUUAUGUGUCCUUGCCUCGUGUCUCUCAUACGGUCAGACACACGUGUAAACUCUCGCCCCUCUUUUCAUCGAUCUCACAACCGCACACUCCUCCCCCUAUCUAGCUAGUAGUUGGGCCUCUCGCACCACCUCCUAGCUCCAUUCUCUCUGUCUAUCCGUCUCGCUGGGCCUUAUUUGCCUCUAACAAAUGGACGUACACCGACCGAUCUCUCGCUAUACAUAUAGCUAGCUAGGUCCUUAUAACUCGUUUUUACCCACACGUCAAUCGAUCUACCUCAUUAGUUGUGUCUCUCCCUUCCUCCGACAAACAACAAUUGAUCUACCGAUCUAGUUAGGUUUGCUUACCAAACACAUGGUUCCCCUUCAUCAUCCAUGGAUGCGUCCCGACAGAUCUAUCACGCACAGGCACACAUAGAAACACAUCCCCACUCUUAUUGAUAACAUUGCAGUUCCACCCUUAGUUUGUCUAGUAGGCCUCUCCCACCAUCUUCGAGAAGCAACUCCAUCACCCAUCCAGCACUCUACCCCUCUCCCUCCCUCUCCCUCCCUCUCUCUCUCCUCUCUCUCUCUGUCCCAUCAUAUUUCCCGUCCUUCAGUUAUGUAUGGACGUCGAUCGAUCUCCCUCAAGACAUAGCUGGGUCUCUCCUUCUCAACACAUAUACGAGUCGUUCUACCUCUAUAGUUAGGCCUCUGCCUACCCCUCCCCCCACCCCCUCCCCCCCACACACACCGAUACAUCGGGCGCUCUAGUCAUGUCUCCCUGCCACACACAAACUUGACAUGUGCCCUCUAAUGUUCCGGUAGGCCACUCNNNNNNNNNNNNNNNNNNNNNNNNNNNNNNNNNNNNNNNNNNNNNNNNNNNNNNNNNNNNNNNNNNNNNNNNNNNNNNNNNNNNNNNNNNNNNNNNNNNNNNNNNNNNNNNNNNNNNNNNNNNNNNNNNNNNNNNNNNNNNNNNNNNNNNNNNNNNNNNNNNNNNNNNNNNNNNNNNNNNNNNNNNNNNNNNNNNNNNNNNNNNNNNNNNNNNNNNNNNNNNNNNNNNNNNNNNNNNNNNNNNNNNNNNNNNNNNNNNNNNNNNNNNNNNNNNNNNNNNNNNNNNNNNNNNNNNNNNNNNUGGUGGAGGGAGGAUCGUCUACCACGGGUGAACAAACAAAUUGCGACUUGACGUGUUAUGUUAAAAAAAGAGGCAAACCAUGUGGGGCCUACCUUAGAGGCAAGGCUCUAUACACUGGAGUACUUUUGAUGUGUCCCGUCAACUCGCAGAACGAGGAGAAGCUUGCUUAGUACGCCGUCUCCCCCGCCCACGGGCGCGGUGGCUCGCAGGAUGAGGUGAAGCUUGCUCCGCCUUACGCCCGCUCCCUCGCCCAUGCGCGCGGUGGCUCGCAGGACGAGGAGAAAAAUUUACUACUCCCUCCGUUUACUCCUCGUCCCUACUACCUUGGUUAUAGAGAUUAUAUCAUAUUGUUUGGAAUAUAUAUGUCCUUUAGUAGAUUUCAAUAUGAACUACUAGUACAUACUCCAAACACUGAUGUAUAUAGACGUAUUUUAGAGUGUAGAUUCACUCAUUUUGCUCCGUAUGUAGCACUCUCCCUCUCCCCUCAACCCUCGCCCACGUGGUGGACGUGCAACAAUUCAUUCGGUCUCAUAUAGCCAGAACGAUAUAUACUGCACUACCAUUAUUGCUCGACUUCCCGAAGAGGCGAAGAGCCAAUCGCAAGGUUAAUAUUUUGGAGAUGCCAAGCGCAAGGUUAUAGGAGAACGAGUAGUAGGUGCCGCGUCAUUUAUAAAUAAAGUUUUUUGUCUUGAGUGGCAUGUACGCAAUAUGAUAGGUUCAUAUGGAUAGAAAAGGAAACCGCUCCACUAUAUACAUAGUCAGGACGGGCCAGCCUACACGGUUGCUUGCUGGGGUUGCUCUCUUCACACUCUCUCGCACAAAACGACUGUGGCCACAUCUCUAACAUCCCGGUGGAUCACGUCCGCUUGGGGAAGGGGUGGAUGCUUAGUGUAGAUGCGGUGGCCGUCGCCGACGGCGAAAACCCACUGUCGGCACGUCCCGAUCAGGGGUCCCCGCCGUUCUCUCUCACAAAGCCGGUGAGGUUGCCUUUGUCCCUUGCUCACUGCCGCGACGUGGGCAGUUGCCGCCUCCCGCUGCCCUCCUCAAGGUUGAGCUACGUCCCUCAGGUACAACUCCCUUUACAGCCGGCUUGCACCACUGCUCUAGCUGGCCACAUCACUCCCUAUGGAUAUUUCUCUACUUCUUUGCCCCGCACAUACCUCUACUGGCUUCUACGUACUAUAUUUGUGAUGAUUUUAUGUCACAUCAACUAGUCCCAGUAAUCUUAUUCUAAUCACGCUUCUUCAAUUUCUUUGCCACAGGGAUGCUCAUCUCGAUUUUGGUGAAACUGCACAAAAUGAUCCGAUGGUCAAAAGGUUGCAAACUUCAUUUAUUAGGAAGCUCGAACGUUGCCAGCAAAUUGAAGCCUAGUCAGGGUUCACGGUUCAAGGGCUAGGGACUGCAUGGAUCGUUUUUUUCUUUAGCUGCCUCUGUUCCAAAAUAAGUGUCAACUUUAGUAGUAGUACAACUUUGUACUAAAGUUUGCACAAAGUUGAGACACUUAUUUUGGAACGGGGGGAGUACAUAUUUGCUAUGAUCUGUCAAUCAUUGAGAUGCAAUAGCAUGCAUGUUAGUCUCCUUUGUAUUUGAUUAAAUGUUGCAACGGGCAACCUUGGACGCAGGAUACAUGUAACAGAAGCUGGAAGCUUCAUAGCAUUGUACAAAUUUAUCUCGCUGAUAAAUUACAGUACGUACUAUACUAGUGCUUCCUCCGUUCCUAAAUACAAGUCUUUGUAGAGAUUUCACCAUGAACCACAUGCGGAUGUAUAUAGAUGCAUUUUAAGUGUAGAUUCAUUCAUUUUGUUCCGUAUGUAGUGGAAUCUCUACAAAGACUUAUCUACUAGUAAUAGCUAGCCCCCACUACUAGGAAUUCUCUAUCCUCUCCUUGAGCCACAUCAUCAAAAUUGAUGUAGCCGUUAGAUGAAGUAAAUCAGUCCAUAAUAGCCGUCUGAUCUAGAUGUUGAGAGGCUCCGCACUAAGCCACAUGCAAGCAUGCAGAAAUACCGUGGCACAUGCAUGUGAGUGGGUUUUAAAUCACAUCAACAUGUCUGCAUGCAAGCAUGCACCGGUAGCAUGCAUGUAAGUGAGCUUUUAAGUCCCAUUAACAUGUCAAAAAGAAAAAUAUAAUCCCAUUAUGCAGUAGGAGUUGGCUGAUCUUUUUUCCUUACGUGGGAUGAUCUAAAUGAUGAUGGGAGUUUAUUUAGUUUGGUUACCACAUUUGUCAUGCGGUUAUAGAGUUUUUUUAGUUCUAUGAAAUCGAUAAUUUUGCGCAGAGAGAUAUACCGCUGUUCCGCGGCAACGCACGGGGACUCAUCUAGUAAUAUUUAGGAACGGAGGGAGUACUAUGUAAAGAGUUAGGUGUCGCACGGUAAUAGUGUGAGGUGGGCCAUGUAAUCACUGAGCCUGCGUGUUUUCACUGCUCUUGCACGCCUUCGCUGUAAGAAUGGAGAAAAUUGUAAUCUAGUAGUAGUACCUCCUUUCGCCGAAAGCGUGGGACAUCCAACAGUCCUACCACCUCAGUAAUAAAGACCAAUGAGCCGUCAAAUCACAUAGACCCAGCAGUAAGUUGGACGGACGAAGCAACCAUCACUCUUGCGCCAGUGAGAGGUCGCGCCCGCUCUGCCCGGGCAUGAAUGCGGCACCGAUUCUUUGGAGCGGCGCUGACCGUUUCGGGCGGGAAGUGCACGCGGGCGAUGGAGGGGCUGUGGGUGGGCCAGGCUGGUCAGGAGCGGGCGUGGCAGCUGUCCGCAUGUCCCUAUCGGACACGCCCGGAAACGAGAGGAUGCACCGACUCUCGCGGCUAAAAUCGUACACUACACAACAUCUCUCUGUAGGAGUAGGUCGAUCUGUCGCUCUCUCUAACACACACAUGCUGUUAAACACACACACACACGCACACGCACGCACCUUGGUCCCAUUGCACCUUCUAACGUGACUUAUUACACCUAGACGGAGGGAGUAGUUAGUAUACGAGAUACGGUGGCACACUGACUUAAGUCGAAUACAAGUGCCCAAAAUUUGUGUGCAUGUUAUAAUAAGGAUUCACUUAAAAUAGUACGUGAGCGAACAGAGGGAUCAAUUGGACAGUGUUCCCGAGCAAUAGCGAGAUGUGUGAGGUAAGAUACACCGCUGGCGCUUUUAAUUUUUCUUAUUAAUUUGUUUGUUUCACCCUCUGACUGGUGGGACCCAACGUACUACGUGGAGAGAGGUAAGGUGACUAAGGCUGCAUUAUUUCUGCACCACUGUGAUAGUCUUACCACCAAAGCCACAUGACACGAUUAUGAUUGAAAUCCUAAUGACUCCCACACAAAAAAAAACACG
rnacentral:lncRNA from 1 species